rnacentral:lncRNA from 1 species
AAAAAUUUAUAUGUGGAGCUCGAACGAAGAGGUCCACCAAUGGAGGUAUCUUCAUAUUUAGAUGCUGAUGUAAUUACCACAAGCUCUGAGGCAGCUCGCAUUGCCAAUGAAUCAGCCCUUGGGUCACACAAGAUACCUGGAGCCGUUCACGAGCAUGUAGUUGAUCAUACUACAGAGCCAAAAUCUCAACCCAGUGAAGCAGUAUUGCAGUCAAGUGAAAGGCUGCAAUCUCUGAAAGACACCAUUGACAAAGCUGUGAGUGAUGAUGAGCAUGUGAGUAAGAUAGAUAGCAGAAAUGCUGUAAAUUUAUCAGAAAUCGAGUCUGAUGAAAUCGUGCAGAUCCCUUUAGAUGAGAAUGAAGUUCAGUCAGCAGAUUUAGAAGUCACAAGUGUGGAUCAGGAUCAGUAUGAGGAGGUUCCCCUCACCAAUGCACCGUUAAUUGGUGCUCCAUUCCGUUUGAUAUCCUUUUUUGCUAGAUACGUGAGUGGUGCUGAUUUGGUUAAUAAGAACUCCGCAACCUCAAACCGAUAACCUGCUAACAGCCUGCAGCUGUAAGAAGUUAGAUUUUAUACAGCAAAAAGGAGGAUGACACCAAAGAUUAAACAUAGUCACAUCUCAAGUUGAAUGAUAUACUUAUUAUAGUACUAGGCUGGAUGCUGCCCCCUUUUUUGUACCAAAUUCAUUAUUAUAGGGGUAUUAGUUGUUAAAGAUAAAAAUAUUGAUUUGGGCCAUUCGUACACCUGCCUGAAAAUUUGGUGACGUAAGAACAAAUGUUAUGCUAGCGAUGAGAGUUGCUGUAGGCUAAUUUAGCCAAAUGGAUUUUGUGUUUCUUUAAAUUUCAUUUGGAUAUUUUGCACUACUCUUACGCUUGUGGUUUGUGGCGUACUCGUAGCAUACCCAAGUUCCAACAUAGGUAGCACGUGGAUGGUGGUAGUUAUAGUUCGCCCAUAAAUAGGCGUGCUGUCCGUUUUGAUGUGUAUUUUUAGAGUGUCCCUUUUGAUAUUUAGGAUUCAAAAAGUAUCCAUUUUAAAAUGACUUAAAACUUAAAUAGAAGAAUAUGACCUACAAAGAUUUUGUGUUAAAUACUACUCCCUCCAUUCCAUAUUAACUUAAGCUUUGAGGUGUUUCACGCCCUUUAAGAAAAGUAGGUUAGACCAUAAAUUGAACAUAAUUUUCCAUUUUUACCCUUAUUAAUUAUUGUCAAAAAUAACUAAACAUUAAUUAUAAUAACUAACUCCAAUACUAACUUAAACGGUAAAUUUGGAAGAAUAUUUUAAAAAUAGUCUUGAAGAUUAAAAACUUAAAUUAAUUUGAAAAAUGAAAAAAUGAUUCAAAGCUUAAGUUAAUAUGGAAUGGAGGGAGCAAUGAUCUCCAUGUCUUGACAUAAAGAUCUCCUGUGAAAUGGGUGAUACAAAAUAGGGAAAAUUGUACAUAAUGGCAAACUAUUAAUUCAAAUUAAAUGAUAUAAUCACACUUUGAUUUAAUUGUGUCCUGUAGCAAACUGUUUGCCAGCGCCUCUCUCCCUCAAACUCUCGCUCGCCACUCUCCUCUCUCGCUCACUCCCUCUGUGCUUGCCUCUCUCGCUUUAUACAACAGAAGUGUAUAAAUUGCGUUUCUGUUUGUAUAAAGCGAGAGAAAAUUGUAUAUACACAUGCAAAUACAUAUAUAUUCGUCCUAUACACUUAUAAUUAUACAAUAAAAAUAUUCCCAUGCCCAGUUUUAUGCUUGUAUAAUGUAUAAUUUAUGUUUGUAUAAAGCGAAAGAGAGCGAAUUUUUAUAUACAAAUAUUUUUGUCAACGAUUUAUACAAACGAGAGGCUAACAACAAUUUAUACAAAUGGCCUGCAAGCGGAAUUAUACAAUUCUGAAGAGGAGCCAACGAAUUAUACAAUUGCUUCUUUUUGUAUAUAUGUAUAGCGAAAUAGACAGCUUUCAAUUGUAUAUGUAUAGCGAAUUAUACCUAUAUAUGUUUGCUAUGGAGCACAAUUAUGCAAACUUUGCUAUAGCAUACAAAUAUGAUUUUUUUGUUUGCUAUACGUGAAAGUUGCUCUACAAAAUAACAUUUUUUAAUGGGCCGUAUGACUGACCUCACCAGUAUGUAGUAAACAGAGCCAACUGCAACGAUGCAAGUGUGUAUAUGCAUGAACUCCCUUGAAAGUUAAAUUAUAAUAAUAUCUCCAACUUAAAACAUUCAAUUUAGUAUAUCUUUAAUAUCUAAAAUUAUAUAAUACUACUUAUUUAUACAUCCAAUUUAAUAUAUCUUUUAUAUCUAAAAUUAUAUAAUACUUAUUUAUACAUCCAAUUUAGUAUAUCUUCUAUAUCUAAAAUUAUAUAAUACUUAUAUAUAUACUAGAUACGUGAGCCCGUGCCAGCACGAGCUCAACAUAUAUUAUUUAUUUAUUCGUAAUUUAUGUGGCACAAAUGAAAUUUGGAGAGUUACUCAAUUUUUUAAUAUAUAUUUUAUAAAAAAAAUUAAGUGGUUAAUUAUUGUGACUUAUAAAAUUGACAUAAUUUUUAAAUAAUAUGUUAUUCACUAUGCCUCAAUUUAUGUGGCACGGAUAAAAUUUGAAGUUGUCUUAUUUGUGGCACUUUUAAUUUUUUUAAUUCAGUGACAUGUUCUUUUCUACUAAUAAUAUUAAUGAUGUAGCAUUAACAUUAGAAAUAAAAAAUGAUUUACACAUAAAAAGAUGGAGAAAUAAAAUAAUUAAACGGAUUACUUACUAAGUAGUACCUAUUUGGUAUGUUUUUUAUAGUAAAAAUUUGCUUAUGCAAAUAAGGUUUUCAUAAAUCAUCAUCAUCAUUAACGGUAUAAAACAAAAUAUUUUUGAUGACAUUUAAAAAUUAAAUUUCUUUUAUGUUAGAGAGAAGAUAGAAUAACUAAAAUAUGAAAUUUAUGUAAUACGAAAUAUUCUUUUUUAAUUAACACUAAAUAAGAAAAAUGAUGAAACAUAUAUUUUAAUUAAUGAGAACACAUUAUUAAAAAAAGAAGAGGAUUAAAUUGGGGGCCGCCAAAAAGCUAUAAAUGAGUAAAUUGGCUGAACUAAAAAUUCAGGAAUAAAAAGAGUUGUGGCCCGGGUUCGAACCUGCGACCUUUCAAGUGGAAAGGGUUGCUGUAACCAGAAGGCAAAGCAGCCAAAUUUGAGGAGAGUCACACAGCUGGAGCACACAUAUUGAUGACUAGUUGUGUGCUAGCAUCUUAUACUAUGCAUAUACACACUAGAUAUGCGGUGCACGUGCAAGGCACGGGCCUAUAACUGUUAUUAUUCUUUUUACUAGUGUAUUUGGCCGUGCUUCGCGCGGUUAUGAAAAGAAUUAAAAUAAAGUUACAUACUAAUAUCAAUAAUUACUUUAAUAAAAGGAAUUUUUUAUUAAUCACAUAAUUUCAUAGAAGAGAAGCUAUGAAAAAUAUUAAGUUAAAUAUGAAAUUCAUUAAGAAAUCAAUAUAUGUGAACUUCGGAAAGUUAAACAUUAAAAAUAAAUUUCAUAGAGAAAAAGAGAAGGUUAAUAUUAGAACUACUGAAAUGUAAACUUGAGAUGUGAUCAUUUUUUUCUUUUUUAUUUGGAAUCUUUUUCAGUAUAAUUUAUAUAUAUUUAUGUAAACUUGAAAUCUAGUCGUUCUUUUCUGCUUCUUUGUAAUCUUUUUAAUUAUAUUCUUAGUAUAAUUUUUCGCCAAUGUAUAACUCAGAUUGCCAUUAGUAGUUAUUAUUCAUGACUAUAUCAUUAGCCUACACUAUUUUUAAUUAUUAUCCACAAUUACUAUUACUUGUCGUCAUCAUCACCCAAUCAUCACAUGUUUUAAUUAUUUUUAUUGUACAACAUUAGAUUAAUUUAAUAUUUGAAUAAUAACUUUUUAAUAAUUAAAUUUUAAAUAAUUUUUUUUACAUAUUUAAAUGAUGAAAAAUAACAAUCUUAAUUAGUUAGAUUCCAUAUCUUAAUAUAUUAUUAUUUUAGUUAGGUUCAGAUAUCCAAUUAUUUUUGGGACAACUUAUAUUGGGAAAACAAAAGAAUGUAAAAUUUAAAAAUAAACAUAAAAGAGAACAAACAAGAGAAUUAACUAGGCAAAAAAAAAUAAAUCAAAAUAAUGACACAUACAAAUUCCUAUUUCUUUCAAUUUUGCUUGGCUUAAACACAAAAAUGUUCAAAAAGUAUAUUUCACAUUUUAAAUAAUUAUUACAUUCAAUAUAAUAAAUUCCUAAGAAUAAAGAGUCACAAUAAUUAAGAGUAUUAACAAUGUGGCUAUGGACUUGUUUGUAACAUAAUAGGAGUAAUAUUCGUACAUUAUUACACUAAUAAAGAACAUUAAGAAAAUGAAAAGACAAUCAAAUUAGAGUUAUUGAGACAAAUAUUUUAUUAUAAGUAAAUAGAAAGCAAGGAAACUAACUAUAUUUUUAAAAUUAUAAAUUAAUCACAAUUUUGGAAUAACUUGAGAACUCCUAGAAAACAACAAAUAUGAAAAAUAUAAAUACUGCAACUUGACUUAUUAAUAAACAACUUGAAAUCUCCCAUAAAACAACAAAAAUGAAAAAAUUAAAGAUUGCAAUUUUACACAUUAAUAAAUAAUUUGUUUUUAAAAAAAACAAACUGUAUUCUUAAAAUUAUAAAUUAACUUUACAUUCUCAUGUUUUAUCAUUUUUGUUAAUAAAAAUUGCUCCACCGGACUAUGGAAGUAUAUGUACGUAUUUCUUUAAGUAGCAUAUCGACAUCCAUUUACUCAUUUCCUGCUUCUAUGUUUUAAAAUAUUAUACCCCACAAACACAAUAAACUAAUAUUAUCAACAAAAAAGUGGGAGAUGAAUUUACCUGAACAAACAAUUUUUUUUGAAGAGUGUUAUCAUUAUAAUAUAAUCAAAUUAUCUAAGAAUUACAUAGAGGUCUAACGAGAAUAAAUUAAAUAUUUUUUUUUUAAAAAACUCAAGAUUUAUAUCUUCACGAACACAAACAAAUAAUAUUAAAUGUAUGAUUUCAACAAAGAAAGAGUUGUAAUUAUAUUAGACAUAUCAAAUUAAGAAUGUCUAACCAUUUUCAUUAUAGAUAUAUCUCCUAUAAUCUGCAAAAUAUGAUUAAAUAAGUUAAAAAAUUAUCUAGCAAAAGAAGAAAAAGAUAAAGAAUAAGGAGAAAAUUGCAUUUAAUCAUAAAUCCUCCNNNNNNNNNNNNNNNNNNNNNNNNNNNNNNNNNNNNNNNNNNNNNNNNNNNNNNNNNNNNNNNNNNNNNNNNNNNNNNNNNNNNNNNNNNNNNNNNNNNNNNNNNNNNNNNNNNNNNNNNNNNNNNNNNNNNNNNNNNNNNNNNNNNNNNNNNNNNNNNNNNNNNNNNNNNNNNNNNNNNNNNNNNNNNNNNNNNNNNNNNNNNNNNNNNNNNNNNNNNNNNNNNNNNNNNNNNNNNNNNNNNNNNNNNNNNNNNNNNNNNNNNNNNNNNNNNNNNNNNNNNNNNNNNNNNNNNNNNNNNNNNNNNNNNNNNNNNNNNNNNNNNNNNNNNNNNNNNNNNNNNNNNNNNNNNNNNNNNNNNNNNNNNNNNNNNNNNNNNNNNNNNNNNNNNNNNNNNNNNNNNNNNNNNNNNNNNNNNNNNNNNNNNNNNNNNNNNNNNNNNNNNNNNNNNNNNNNNNNNNNNNNNNNNNNNNNNNNNNNNNNNNNNNNNNNNNNNNNNNNNNNNNNNNNNNNNNNNNNNNNNNNNNNNNNNNNNNNNNNNNNNNNNNNNNNNNNNNNNNNNNNNNNNNNNNNNNNNNNNNNNNNNNNNNNNNNNNNNNNNNNNNNNNNNUAUAUAUAUAUAUAUAUAUAUAUAGAUUAUGAGUACUUCACAAGAUUAUUCAAUAUGAAAAUACUAAAAGAGAAAGCAUAAGUAUCAUGUUAACAACAUAUUAACACUUCAUAAUAUUUACUUUGAUUGAGGAACAAAGUUUACAUAAAUAUUCAAACGAUUAUGAAAUGUCCUUCAAAUGAAGAGUUGUUUGUAAUAAUUCCAACAAACAAAUUUCAACUUUCAAAUCUCUAGAGUUGAUGAUAUUUUCCUCAAGCUCUGAGAGAUCCAUCUUUCAUUCAACCUAGUUGGGGGCGUAUAAGUAAGACACUUUCGAACAUCCAAAAAUUUCCACAAGCUCUAAAAGAUGUAUCUUUCAUCCAACCUGUCUGGAAAUUUCCACAAGCUCACACUUAUUAUAAAAGAAGAGAAAUAUAAAUAUAAGUAGAACAAACAUGGAGAAAAUGCUUUCAUAAUAAUCAUUUAAUACCUAUAUAGGAACCGAAUCCUAGAAGCUACCCGAUAUAAUUAUAUUACCACCUGAGAGCAUACCUUUACAAAGCACAAUUGAGAAGUCGAGAUCCUUCACCUUUUCUAUUUCUUUUUCAGCUCUAAGAAAAGCAGAACAACAACAAAUUUUGAAUGAUAAGUGGAAGUCCUAAGUAAGUUACUUAUUUUCAAAAAAAUAGUAAAAGACCAAAAUUAGUUUUUUGAUAAUAGGCAUAAUACAAAAUGCUUCUAUAAUAAUCAUUAAAGCAGACGAAGCACUUAGUAGAAUAGACAAAGAUAUAGUAAGUCUAGAAGAGGAAGAAAACACAGUAGAAAAGGUUGCAGGAACUUUUAAAGGAACAUAGGAACAGUCCACAACUUCAUCCAUAAGCAAAACUCGGUUUUUCAUGUGCACCAGAAAUGCGGGAUGAUAUUUCAAUUAGAGUAGGUUCCAAUUCUUUACCUGAAAAAGUGGUGAUGUUCAGUAAACUUAAAUUCAUGAUUUCCUCACAAUCUCUGUACAAAUAAAUGAAGGCGAGAUUACAAUAAUAACUAUGUGUUAUUCCUAAAUAAGUUAUAAUUGAGCAAAAAAUAUACCUUGUGUGAGGAGAGCGACUACACUAAGCUAUGAACAAAUAUUUAUAUGUGAUCUUCUAAUUUCCAAAAGUGAAAGAAGAACUUUAUAUUUGACAAUUUUUUGCAGGUAAAAUGAGUGAAGUUAUCUCAGACAUUUACUUUUUUCUGUGUUCAGCUCUGUCUGCAUCCCUAUUUAAAUUCAUAUGUUCUGUAACAAACAUAACUUUGGGUAAGGUUUGUGUACACUUUACCCUCUGCAAAUCCCACCUAUAUGUAUUGUUAUUGUUAUAGUGAGCAGAAUUAUGUUCAAUUUAUUUAUGAGGGUAAUUAAGCAUCUAAUUUGAUAGAAUAAAAAUAAAUCUCUCCCUUUAUUAUAAUUGGAGAUACACAAUCUCUACUGGAGAAUUUUACUCCAAGUAAGCUAAGGAAAAUAGAUUGGAAAUAAGAACAACAACCAUCAUAUAGAUACACAAUAACAAAUAAAUAAAAAUCAAAUGACAAUUGUAUAUAUACAUAUACGAAUGUAUAUAUGCAUACAUAUGUAUGUAUACAUAUGUCUAUAUACAUAUAUACAUAUAUACACACACACACAUAUAUAUAGAAUUUUCUAAGUUUUCUAUUCUUCUUCUUCUUCUUCUUCUUCUUCAUAAAACACCAAUUUAGUAUAUCUUCUAUAUUUUAUAUUAUAUUUAUUUAUAUUGUAUUAUAUGAAAAGCAGACACAUUUUCACAUACCUUUUCAUGCUACUCUUUGUUGGUUAUAAAUAAAUGACUUUUUCAAAGAGUUGUGAUCUUUCUGAAAGAUUGUUCUUAUUCUUCUUAAAAUAGCCAAUUUAGUAUAUCUUCUAAAUUUUAUAUUAUAUUAUAUUAUAUUAUAUUUAUAUAACUUUACAUUAUAUUAAAAGCAAACACCAUUUCAUAUUGAAGGGUCGUGACUUUUUCAAAGGGUUAUGACUUUUUGAUGAGUUGUGAGUUGUGACCUUUUCUAAAGUAGUAACUUUUUAGAAGGAUUCUAAAUUUUUCAACGAGUUGUGACUUUUUCAAUGAGUUGUGACAUUUCCUAAGAAGAGUUGUGGCUUUUUUUUUGAAAAGCUGUGACUUUUCUGAUAAGACACAAAAAGUACAUUUUUAUACUACCUUUGUUGACUAUAAAUAAAGAAGUUUCCUCACAUUUUUUCAAGUAUGAAUUUUCUAUGUUUUUUAUUCUUCUUCUUGUUAAAACACUCAAUUUAGUAUAUUUUAUAUUAUAUUAUAUUAUAUUAUACAAUAUUUAAUAAUAAUAAUAAUACAACGAAACCAGGAUCUCAGAAGAUGGGCGGUAGUCCGCACAGUCAUCUUCAAUCUAGCUUGUUAACAUCCGAAUUCAAGGAAUAAAUUCAAAUCGAAAUAUAUACAAAUUUUUAUAUAGUUUUAUGAAUGUAUGGAAGGAUCUAGUCCUUUUACCCGAGCAAAGGAUCUGUCAAGAUUCAAAUACGUAUUGUUAUUGAGCCCAUGUGUCUAGCAGUUCUAAUCGGGUAUAGAGAGCCCUUUUUCAACUCAUUAACGGGCUUUGGACCACGNNNNNNNNNNNNNNNNNNNNNNNNNNNNNNNNNNNNNNNNNNNNNNNNNNNNNNNNNNNNNNNNNNNNNNNNNNNNNNNNNNNNNNNNNNNNNNNNNNNNNNNNNNNNNNNNNNNNNNNNNNNNNNNNNNNNNNNNUUUAUAUUUAGAUAAAGUCUAGAUCUUUCAUGGUAGAUAUAAAAGUGAAGUUAGAUAUCCGACAUAGAUAUGAAUAUUUUAGCCGGACAUAGUCACGACUCUAGAUCGGAGAAAGAGAAGAAGAUAAAAGAAAGGAAGAAUAAAAGUACCUUGUAGUCGUGGCCAACACCAGGGCCUAUGAGAACUAUACACUUUAUUGACAACUCCGGUAAGUAUUCAGAGAACUUACAAAUUACAAAAGAGGAAGCUUUACAAAAGAGAAACUAAGAGAGAGAGAGAGAGAGAGACUUAUUUCGAACCUGCCUCUCUAUAUAAAAACUAAACUUAUUUAUAGAAGAGAAACGAAUCUACGAACAGUAAAUGAAUAGUAAAUGUGGGUCCCUUAUAAAUGAAUCCCUAUGUACAGUAACAGUUUAUCUACUGUUGAUCAACAGUGUAUUUACUGUUGAUAGUGGCUUUUGCUGUAGUGAUAAGCUACAUCUUGUCUUUUUUCUUCAACUCGCGGAGGAAUUCUUCCACCUUUUGCAGAGUUUCUUCUGAGAUAAGUUUGUUUGACUCACAUGGUUGAGCCUCUUGAAUAUCUUCGGGGGCGACGUCCUCACUAGUUUCACUCCUCAUGGACGUGUCUGAUUUCUCAGAUUGAGUUAUGUUGAGGAGUAGAUUCCUUCUUAAUUCUUCGAGAUAAUCAUUAAUCAUCUUUUCCAUCUUGGAUGAAAAUUUUGCGGGUAAUAUGCCUUACCGAGCUAUCUUGAAUUACUCCCUUCUGAGGGGUGAUGCAAUAUUCUUGGACCCUUUUUUCAAUUAGAUCCAACAGUUCCUGUCCAUAUAAAGACUUGGUUUUGGGAUCUCUUUUCAUUAAUUUGUCCCAGAAAUUAUUAUAAAAAGUCCUAUAUAAACAAGGAAUUUACUCCUCGGUAAAACCCACUUCUGGAGUCCAUUUAUGAAUCCAAGGAAUCAAAAAUUCAAUGAAGAAAUAUAUUUGUUCAAUUUUUUUCGAUGUAAGAGAUAUGAUUUGUGUGAUAUAAAGCGUUAAGAUCGGGUGAAACUUUAACCCAUUCUUUGUAUAACUUAAGAAAUGGAUAUGUUAGAAUUUUAAUCGUUGGAUUGUGGUAUGACCACCAGUUUAAAAACCAAUUAGGGAUUGGUUCUGCGAAUAUCUUCACACAAUUUUUUAUAAACCAUGUGUGCUUAUGUCUCUCAUUAUUGUAGAUGAGGACUUUAUCAAAAGCACGAAUAUAAUCCCAAUAUGUAAAAUUCAUAGAGACUUUAUUCAGGCUGAUCUGCCUUUCCUUCAUCGUGGAGAUACCCCAAUCUUCAACAACUAUAAUAUGUUUGAUUAUCAUUUUAGAGAAGUUAUAACAUUCUCACUAGUGUUAUAACCUGAAAAAUGCUGAAAUUUAGCAUUAUCGGUGUUUAUUAGAAUUGUCUCAUAAUAAGAUCGGGUCUUGUAUGACUCACCCGGAAAAUAUAAUCCGUUUACCAAAUAUCGCUGAAAUAUCUUCCAGGGUUCUUCUUUUCGCUGAAUAUCAGAAUUUUCUAAAAGAAAUAUCAUUUCUUUUUUGGAUAUUUUUUCAUAUGAUUUAAUAUCAUCAACAUCUUCUUUUGCUAUGGAUGCAAAGGUAUCACUUUGCUUUUCAGAUAGAUACGCCUGUAAUUGUGCGUAUAAUGAAUUAUUUUCUGGAAUAUCUUCCAAAUGUAUAGAAGAAGCCUCCUUUUGAGAGGUUUUUAAAUUCACCAAGCUCAUCCCUCCUAUUUGUAUAAUUGGGGAGCCAGAUGAGGAGGAUCCGUAUGACGAUCCUGAUGAUCCCGAGGAUGAUCUUCCCCUUCCUCUGGUAUAACUGCCUUUUCCUCUGACUUAGGUUACCCAAGGAGGGUCCAUCCUACAAACAAAACAUUUUAUUUUAUUCGAAUACCUCAUAAUAUAAAUCAUAGUAAUUACGAUAAUAAUCGUCAAAAUUGAUUAUCUCUUCGAUAUUAUGAAUAGAGAAGAUGUCUAUCACCAUAUGAUCUAUGAUUUUCCACAUAAUAAUUUCUUGUACGUCUCGAUUGAGAGGAAUCACCUUUAAGAUAGUAACUAAAGUUUUAUCAGUAAAGAAAGGAGACAGAAAACUCAUUGUGAAGAUAGGUAUUCUCUAGAUAAGAAAUCUGGAAGAGUGUUAUCACUCCCCUUUUUAUAAUGGAUUUCAAAGUCAAAAGGCCUGCCAUCUAGCAAAAAUUAAUUUUGAUGCAUCAUGUUUAAAAUAUUUAUCAAACAUAUAUUUCACAGAUUUUGCAUCGGUUUUUAUUAAAAUUUUUGAUUAUAUAAAUCAUCUUGAAAUUUUAAUACGCAUUUGACGAUGGUCAGCAUUUCAUGAGCCACCGUAGCAUAUUUCUUCUGAGCAUCGCUCUAUUUUUCGGAAUGAAAUCAGAUUAAAUAUUCAUUUUUGUCAUGGGGAUUGAUUUGUUUCAAUAUUCCACCAUAACCAAUGUUAGACGCAUCUGUUUCAAUAAUCUUCUGUCAUGCUGGGUUGGCAAGGGUUAGACAAGGCAAAGAUUGAACAUGAAGUUUAAUAUUCUUUACCAAAUUGGUGUGACUAUCAGUCCAUGGUGAUUUAUGAUCCUUUUUUAGCCUAUCAUAUAAGGAGGCCAAAUCAUGAGAUAAAUUUUUAUAAAAGGGAGAUAUAUCAUUCAGACUUCCCAAAAAUCGUUGCAAUUGAGUUCGAUCUGUAAUAAUAUCAAGGAACUUUGAAGCAAAUUCAAUCGAUCGUUGAAUUGGGGUAAUCUUCCCCUGACAAAUAAGAUGUCCUAAAAAUCUUACAUUAGUUUGAAAUAAAAAUCACCAAACCAUUCUGUUUAACAAUUUUCUUGAAAAAUGUCUAAAUGUUUGGUAUGCAUUUCAAGAGUCUUUGAGUAAACAAAAAUAUCAUCAAUAUAAACAAUAAAAUUUCUUGAAAAUGUCCAAAUGUUUGAUAUGCAUUUCAAGAGUCUUUGAGUAAACCAAAAUAUCAUCUAUAUAAACAAUGAUGAAAUUCAAAUAUGGAUUGAAAAUAUCAUUAAUAAUUUUCUGAAAUUCAGAAGGAGCGUUUUUCAAACCAAAUGGCAUAACAUUUCAUUCGUAUUGUCCAAAUGGAACAUUAAAAGUUGUUCUAUAAGAAUGUUCUUUAAAUAUUUGAAUCUGUCAAUAUCCUGAUUUUAAAUCGAAUUUUGAAAAUAUAUUGGCGUCAUAUAAUCUUGAUAAUAAAUCUUUUUAUUUGGAAUAGGAUACCUAAUCCAAUUCAAAUAUUUGUUCAAAGGUUUAUAAUUUAUAACCAACCUGGGGACACCUCGUUCCUUUUCAGCAACAUUGUUAACAUUAAAUGCAGUACAAGACUAAGGUGAUUUUGAAGGUUUUAUCAAGCCCUUUUGUAACAAAUUAUCAAUUUCUUUUUUGCAGAAUUCAACUAAUUCAGAAUUCAUCUGACAAGGACGGGUUUAGUAGGAAUAUCAUCCUCGGAGAAAUUGUCUUCAUAUGGAAAAGUGACAAUAUGUUUUUUCUGAUUCCAAAAAGCAUUAGGAUGAUCAGCACAAAUAUCAAUGGCAAUUUGUUCAGAAAUCAAUUUAAUUUUCUUGUACUUUGGUGGAUUUCAAAGUAUCAAAUAUAUUCAUACUAAACUAUUCAAGUUGUAGAGAAUCAACACGCUUUUGCUUCAUAUUAAUAAAACAUUAAUAUUACGAGAAAUAGGGUCAGUGAUAGAAGUAUAACUAAUAUUCUGAUUUUCAUAAGUAGCAGAAAAUCCUUUAGCAGUUAUACUAGUAAAUGGAUAAAUAACAUUUAUAAAAGGUGUUCCAAGUAUAAUUGGAGGGUAUAACUGAUUUUUAAUAAAAAAAGAAAGAAAUGUGGAAUGCAAACUUUGUUUUGGCAAAUGUGCGUAUUAGGCAAUUUAUACUUUAUAUCUAAAGCAUGUCCCGAAGCAGAUUUAACCAUAUGAGUAGUUUUUAAAAAAUACUUAGUAGGUACAAGACCUUCUUGGAUACAUCUAACAUCGGCUCCACUAUCAAUCAUAGCAACAUUAGUUAUGGAAAAUUGAUUAUCAAUCAAUAUGGUGCAUUUAACAUACCAUUUAUGAGCAGUAACAAUUUGCAUCAUUCCGAAAAACAUACCUUGUCUAGGAUCAAGAUUAAAAGGUUUUGCAAGAGUAUUGUCUUCAACAAUAUUUUUUCCUUUGUUAUUAACAGUUUCGAUCUGAGUAAGACGAUGAUCCCAUAUCAUUUGAUUCUGUUUAAUAGAUUUAAUCUCCUUUUUCAAGUUUUCAAUUUCAUCUUUUAAGUCAUCAAAAGAUGAAUCUCUCGUGAAAAUAGUUUGUUUAUGAAGUAUGUUGUUAAUUUCAGACAAAGAAUAAGGAGCAGAAUAUUCAUUUUCAAAAUCACUUUUAUUUUUCAGAGUUUUUUGAAGAACUAGUAGUAUUAUUAACAACUAAUUGAAUAAUUUUUUCAAGAAGGUUAUUAUCAAUAACUCUUUCAGAAGUUAUAUCAUAUUAUCAGAAGUAGUAGUGUUUAGAUUCAAAUCUUCAAAUUGAGAUUGCAGUUUAUAAAAGAAUUCAUCAUUUUCACAUAAGCAAGUAUCACCAUUGCAAGUAUCGCAAGCAUUCAUAUUAUCGCGCUGAUUAUUAUCAUGUUGAUUAUUAUCAGAUGAUUCAGGCAACUCAAUUUCUUCUUCUGAACUUGAAUCAGAAUCAUAAUCAGACUCAGAACCAGAAGUAUAUAAAAAACUAUAAACCUUAUCAUGAACUUCUUCAUCAAGCUCUAAGGCUUUCAACUUUUCAAGCUUGCAAUUGGGUGCUAUAUGCCCAAAAUUUCCACACUUAUAACAUUUAAUCUUGGCGAGUUCCCGCUUAGACCUACUCUUGGUAAAUCUAUUAGACUUACGAAAGGCUUUUCUCUCGUCCCGUUCUUCCUUAGAUCUAUGUCUAUGUUUAGACCUUCUUUUCCUAUAAGGUUUGUCGGGAUUGGAGCCUCUAGAAUCUCUAUGUUUGGUUUUCUUGCUAUCAGCUGAAGUACCAGAUAAACCAAACUAGGUGCAAAAGUCUCCUAGUUGAGAUCUUUCCCUAAGCUUAUCUAUCUUAAGCUGUCUAGAUAACUUUAAUUCAUUGCAUAAAUUUAUCCCUUCUUGAGUGCCAACGCCUAUCAGUCAACCAUAAGUAUAAUCCUAGUAGGGAAUUUCACCAUGCUCAUUUCUAAGCAAUUUUUUAACCCUUAUUGCAAAUAAUGGGAGAAGACCAUCUAUGAACUUUGCUUUCCAAUGCUCAUAUUUGUUUUUGGGUAGCUCCAUCACCCUACUCUCCUACUCAUAUAGGUAUCUUUAUACCACCUGAAUUCUCACAAGGUUCUACAUCGUAGAUCGUUUAACAGGGUACGAACAGUCUCAAACUGAUUGGUAAAUCUACCAUUAAAAUGUUCUAAAAUGGUUAAGACUAAGGUAUAAACAAUGUCUUCUCUAUCCAUACCGAAGUUAUCAACACCAUCACUACUAGAAGUAGCAUUAAUCACAACAACCUUUUGCUCAAGGGUUAUAUAAUUAUCCCACCAACCUCGAAGUUGGCCAGUAAAACCUGCAAUUAUCAUUUUACAAAUAUUUCUAUCUGUGUUUUUAACAUUUUUACAGAUAGCUGCAUAAGCAUUCUAUGAACAAGAAUAGUAACCUGUCUAUCAGUCAGACCAUCGAGGUUCUAUUCAUAAAUCUCAGAACCGCUAUAAGAGGUAUUAGUCUGAUUCUAGUCUUGUUCCUCUAUAAGCACAUCUUGAGGAGUGGAUCUGGAAUAGUAAUAAGUUUGCAUGCUAGGCUUAUGAGCAAACUUAGUAUUACCACUAUUCUUUUUGGGAUAACCCUAAAGUUUAUUAAAUUCUAAAGAAACAUGAUUUUUAAAAUCAAAGGUAUUUUCCAUUUCAUCUGCAAACCUUUCAGACAAGUCCAUAUGUUUUGCACUAAAUUCAGAAAACUUCUUAUCAAUUAGAUCUUCAAAAUCAUAAAUUGAUUUGAAUUUAAAUUCCGAAAUCUCAGGAGGCCUCUGCACAGGAGUAACCAUAGUCUGUGCUUCCGCAUUAGUUUUUGAGGUAGAAGCUUUAUUAAAAGUCUUUACAUUAUUUUUAAUUUGAAUUACCAAAGCCGUUAAUUCAUCCAAUUUCUUAUCAAGAGAACCAAUAUGUUCACCCAAAACUUUAACAUAAAGUCCCAAAUAAUUAUUUUGAGAAAUCAAAUUAUUAAUUUCGUUGAUGCUGAUUGUCGCAACAUCCUCUUCAACAAUAUUUUGAAAGGCAGUAAAAGUUAUACCAGUAUUAUUAGGUAAACCAAAUGAUGACUGAGGCAGGUAAACAACCUUGAUAAUAUUACCAGUUCCAUCUUUAUAAGAUCGUUCAAGAAUGUUGAUGAAUAAAGGUAAAUAAGUGGUUAUAAACUAAGGUACAAAAUACGUAAUUUGAUUAUGUAAAGCACAAGUUUCAUAAAACUCUUGAGAAAUAUUAUUUAAAUCACCGGCACUAUAAGUGUCAAUAUACUUUAGUGCCAGAGAACCAGGGCUAAAAUCUAUUUGAUGUACAUUCAUCAUCAAGUAUUAUUAAGAUCAAAAUCCAUUUCGAACUGGGAAGGAAUAUCCUUAUCAGAAAUAUCAGAAGCAAUAUCAUUAGCUUGAACAAUAUAAUAUUAAGACGAGGAUUCAUUUUUAUUUUAUUAACAAAUCUAUCAUUUUGAUCUGCAGAUAUAACCGAUGGGAGAGUAUGUAAAGAGGCAGCACGGUUGCGAGACAGGCCAUAUGCAGGAUCAAUGGGGGAAAUAUGAUGCAUAACAGGCAAUCUUCUAGCAGACGAAAAUGAAUGUCUACUAAAAGGGAUAUCAUUAAACUGCAUACAAAUCCUUCCGUCAGGAUUUUGAGUGAUAUGAGAAUACUCAGAAUUAGUGACUACAUCCGCCAUCUGGUUUGGAGGAAUAACUGACUCCAAAGUUCAAGUAGUUGGAAAAUUAAUUUCUUCCCAUUUUAUAGGUCGCCUAGUAGUGACCUUAGAUCUAGCAAAAUUAGUUUCUACUAAAAUAGUUUCAGCAGAUGUAUCAUAUAACUUACAUUUCGGGUUUAACGUAGAAAGUAAUUUGAAAUAGAUUAUAUAAGAUAAGCAAAUUAAUUCAGAUCCAGGUGCAUAAUUAUAACCAUGCAUUUUUAACAUUUUAAAGUUAAAGCAUCAAGAAUAUUAGCAUCAGUUAAAGAUAACUGUAAAUUAGGCUGAGUAUUAAAGUAGAGUGGACCAUAAGCCACGGUAGAUUCAAUCGAACCCAUCAAAGAUUGUUUAAAAUUUAAAUUUCUAGAAUCACGUAAAGAAACUAAAAAUGUCUCAGGUAACCCUUUAAGGGUGAAAGGCUUAAAAGCAAUUUGAAUCAUACCAAUAUGCAAGAAAUUAUACUGAAGCUUAUAUAAGUCAAUAUCUCGUUUAUUCAACAAACGAAUAGUCUGUUCUGACGAAUUUAACGCCAAAGAUUGUUCAGUCGUUUUAAUCAAUUGCUUAUUAGAGAUUUUAUCAAACCAACCAUAAUCAUAAAUGGUUUUAAUAUUAAUUUUUGGAAUAUUACAUUUGUUUAACAAAUCAAGGUUUUGAGGUAUAUCUACCUCUUCCAGUCUAGUACUCUUAGUACUCGUUUUACCAAGAUCCAUGAAGACAAAUAACAUAUCUAUGUCGUAUACUUCACGUCAAUCUCAUAUGUACCAUGAAAGUUCCUAGGCUUUGAUACAAACGAAACCAGGAUCUCAUAAAAAGUUUUCCGAAUUUAGUGCAAAGCCUAUGGACUUGUCUGAAAGUUUUGCAGAUGAAAUGGAAAAUACCUUUGAUUUUAAAAAUCAUGUUUCUUUAGAAUUUAAUAAACUUCAGGGUUAUCCCAAAAAGAAUAAUGGUAAUACUAAGUUUGCUCAUAAGCCUAGCAUGCAAACUUAUUACUAUUCCAGACCCACUCCUCAAGAUGUGCUUAUAGAGGAACGAGACUGGAAUCAGACUAAUACCUCUUAUAGCGGUUCUGAGAUUUAUGAAUGGAACCUCGAUGGUCUGACUGAUAGACAACUUACUAGUCUUAUUCAUAGAAUGCUUAUGUAUGCAACUAUCUGUAAAAAUAUUAAAAACACAGAUAGAAAUAUUUGUAAAAUGAUAAUUGCAGGUUUUACUGGCCAACUUCGAAAUUGGUGGGAUAAUCAUAUGACCCUUGAGCAAAAGGUUGUUGUGAUUAAUGCUACUUCUAGUAGUGAUGGUGUUGAUAACUUAGGUAUGGAUAGAGAAGACGUUGUUUAUAUCUUAGUCUUAACCAUUUUAAAACAUUUUAAUGGUAGAUUUACCAAUCAGUUUGAGAUUGUUCGUACCCUGUUAAACGGUCGUGUAGAACCUUGGGAGAAUUCAGGUGAUAUAAAAAAACUUAUAUGAGUAGGGUGAUGGAGCUACCCAAAAACAAAUAUGAGCAUUGGAAAGCAAAGUUCAUAGAUGGUCUUCCCCCAUUAUUUGCAAUAAGGGUUAAAAAAUUGCUUAGAAAUGAGCAUCGUGAAAUUCCCUACCAGGAUUAUACUUAUGGUCGACUGAUAGGCGUUUGCACUCAAGAAGGGAUAAAUUUAUGCAAUGAAUUAAAGUUAUCUAGAUAGCUUAAGAUAGAUAAGCAUAGGGAAAGAUCUCAGCUAGGAGACUUUUGCACCCAAUUUGGUUUACCCAGUAUUUCGGCUGAUAGCAAGAAAAUCAAACAUAGAGAUUCUAGAGGCUCCAAUUCCGACAAACCUUAUAGAAAAAGAAGGUCUAAACAUAGACAUAUAUCUAAGGAAGAACGGGACGAGAGAAAAGCUUAUCGUAAGUCUAAUAGACUUACCAAGAAUAGAUCUAAGCGGGAACUCGCCAAGAUUAAAUGUUAUAAGUGUGGAAAUUUUGGGCAUAUAGCACCCAAUUGCAAGCUUGAAAAGUUGAAAGCCUUAGAGCUUGAUGAAGAAGUUCAUGAUAAGGUUUAUAAUUUUUUAUAUACUUCUGGUUCUGAGUCCGAUUAUGAUUCUGAUUCAGGUUCAGAAGAAGAAAUUGAGUUGCCUGAAUCAUCUGAUAAUAAUCAGCAUGAUAAUAUGAAUUCUUGCGAUACUUGCAAUGGUGAUACUUGCUUAUGUUAUACUUUGAAAUUCACCAAAGUACAAGAAAAAAUUAAAUUGAUUUCUGAACAAAUUGCCAUUGAUAUUUGUGCGGAUCAUCCUAGUGCUUUCUAGAAUCAGAAAAAACAUAUUGUCACUCUUCCAUAUGAAGACAAUUUCUCCGAGGAUGAUAUUCCUACUAAAUUCCAUCCUUGUCAGAUGAAUUCCGAAUUAGUUGAAUUCUGUAAAAAUGAAAUUGAAAAUUUGUUACAAAAGGGCUUGAUAAAACCUUCAAAAUCACCUUGAUCUUGUACUGCAUUUUAUGUUUAACAAUGCUGCUGAAAAGGAACGAGGUGUCCCCAGGUUGGUUUUAAAUUAUAAACCUUUGAACAAAUAUUUGAAGUGGAUUAGGUAUCCUAUUCCAAAUAAAAAAGAUUUAUUAUCAAGAUUAUAUGAUGCCAAUAUAUUUUCAAAAUUCGAUUAAAAAUCAGGAUAUUGGCAGAUUCAAAUAUUUAAAGAACAUUCUUAUAGAACAACUUUUAAUGUUCCAUUUGGACAAUACGAAUGGAAUGUUAUGCCAUUUGGUUUGAAAAACGCUCCUUCUGAAUUUCAGAAAAUUAUGAAUGAUAUUUUCAACCCAUAUUUGGAUUUCAUCAUUGUUUAUAUAGAUGAUAUUUUGGUUUACUCAAAGACUCUUGAAAUGCAUAUCAAACAUUUGGACAUUUUCAAGAAUUUUUUUAUACAAAAUGGUUUGGUGAUUUCUAAACCAAAGAUGAGUUUAUUUCAAACUAAUAUAAGAUUUUUAGGACAUCUUAUUUGUCAGGGGAAGAUUACCCCAAUUCAACGAUCGAUUGAAUUUGCUUCAAAGUUCCUUGAUAUUAUUACAGAUCGAACUCAAUUGCAACGAUUUUUGGGAAGUCUGAAUGAUAUAUCUCCCUUUUAUAAAAAUUUAUCUCAUGAUUUGGCCUCCUUAUAUGAUAGGCUAAAAAAGGAUCAUAAAUCACCAUGGACUGAUAGUCACACCAAUUUGGUAAAGAAUAUUAAACUUCAUGUUCAAUCUUUGCCUUGUCUAACCCUUGCCAACCCAGCAUGACAAAAGAUUAUUGAGACAGAUGCGUCUAACAUUGGUUAUGGUGGAAUAUUGAAAAAAACCAAUCCCCAUGAAAAAAAUGAAUAUUAAAUCCGAUUUCAUCUCGAAAAAUGGAGCGAUGCUCAGAAGAAAUAUGUUAUGGUGGCUCAUGAAAUGGUGACCAUCGUCAAAUGCGUAUUAAAAUUUCAAGAUGAUUUAUAUAAUCAAAAGUUUUUAAUAAAAACCGAUGCACAAUCUGUGAAAUAUAUGUUUGAUAAAGGUUUUAAACAUGAUGCAUCAAAAUUAAUUUUUGCUAGAUGGCAGGCCUUUUGAUUUUGAAAUCCAUUAUAAAAAGAGGAGUGAUAACUCUCUUCCAGAUUUCUUAUCUAGAGAAUACCUAUCUUCACAAUGGGUUUUCUGUCUCCUUUCUUUACUGAUAAAACUUUAGUUACUAUCUUAAAGGUGGUUCCUCUCAACCAAGACGUACAAAAAAUUAUUCUGUGGAAAAUCAUAGAUCAUAUGGUGAUAGACAUCUUCUCUAUUCAUAAUAUCGAAGAGAUCAUCAAUUUUGACGAGUAUUAUUGUAAUUACUAUGAUUUAUAUUAUGAGGUAUUCGAAUAAAAGGAAAUGUUUUGUUUGUAGGAUGGACCCUCCUUGGGUAAACAAGGUCAGAGGAAAAGGCGGUUAUACCAGAGGAAGGGGAAGAUCAUCCCCAGGAUCAUCAUGAUCGUCAUACGGAUCCUCCUCAUCUAGCUCCCCAAUUAUACAAAGAGGAGGGAUGAGCUUGGUGAAUCUAUUAGAAUUGUCUCAUAAUAAGAUAGGGUCUUGUAAAAACCUCUCAAAAGGAGGCUUCUUCUAUACAUCUCGAAGAUAUUCCAGAAAAUAAUUCAUUAUACGCACAAUUACAUGCAUAUCUAUCUCAGAAGCAAUUAUAUUAUAUUAUAUUAUAUAUCUUCCCACUACCCAAUCCACCUUCACUCCCAUAUACCCACUCCCUCACCCCACAACCCCUCAUCACCCCACAACCUCACCACCACUCCCUCAAACCACCACCACAAUACAUAUAUGCACACAUGCACAUCACAAAAAAUAUAUAUUUUGCACACUCUUAUAAACUACAACACUAUAGGAAACAUAAGAAGAAGAUAGAAAAGAAAACGUACCAAAAAAAACAACCAAAAACAAUUUUCUGAAGAAAAAAAUCAGAAAAACACACACAUGGAAAAAGAAAAGGAAAUCAGCAAAGAAAAAAGCAAUACCAAAAAACAACACACAUCCACACCAAAAAAAAUAAUGAUUUGUGAGCGUUCUAAUCAAGCUUUGGUCAAGAUUUUGCGGUUCUUAUUUCUUCAUUUAAGGUUCAACUUUACCUUAUCUCUUUAAUUUAUUUAUGGAAUUUGAUGUAAUUUUAUGGCAGGUUGUCCUAUUUUUUUUUAUUCAUAAUUUGAUUGAAAUGAACAAUUUGUUAGUUAUUAUAUCUCUAUUUAAUGAGUGAAGGUAGCUUUAACAAUGAUUACUUUUUAUUUUAUUUAUUUAUAUUCGCUAGUUAUGAUCUCUUAAAAUUGAAUAGGUCAUGACAUUGUUCUUAUUUUGAUUUAGAUUAUAAUGAUAAAGUAGGUAUAGUUAGGCUAAAAUAAAUUAAUAAAUAAAUUUUUAUUUAUUUAUUUUAUCAAACAAAAAAUGAUAUUUAUUUUUAACAAUUCGUUAUUGUUUUGUUUGAUCAGAAAGUGUAUACUUAAUUUUGACGUUAACUUUAAGAGUUAAUAAAAAUAAAAGAAUAUAAAAUAAUACAAAAUUAUAUAUUGUAUCCUAGAAGCUUAGAUUUAUUUUAUUUUAUUUAAUAUUUUCUUAUAACAUUAGAUGGGGUUUAGGCAUGUUAAAAAGAAAAUGAUUUAAAAUAAGAAUGUGGUUACCCAUCUUUUUUCAAACACACAAAGGAAAUUCAAGGAUGUGGUGACACAUCUUGGAAAAAUUAUUCUAAGAAAUAUUUUAUUUAAUUAAAAUCAAGAUAUGAAACAUAGAAUAUUAGGCAACACACUCGAGAGAAUAAAGCAGUUAUGCUUCAAAGCUAUUAAAUAUUAAAACAAAGAAUGCGGUUACGCUUUUAGGUUGAGAGACCAAAUAAAAGUUCAACAAUAAAAAUGCGAAUAAGUCAUGGCCUGAAAAUAAUAUAUCCAAAAAUAUUUUAAGUCAAGUAUAAGUUAAUAAUAGCGACUGUGCUAGAACCACGAGACUCGAGGGAUGCCUAAUACCUUCCCCUCGGUCAACAAAAUUCCUUACCCGAAUUUCUAGUUCGCAGACCAUAUAAAGAGUCAUUUCCUUUUGAUUGGGAUUAAACAAAAAGGUGACUUGGAAUACCAUAACUCAAUUCCAAGUGGCGACUUUGAAAAAUAAAAUAUAAUCUGUAAUCAAUACCAUCACUUAAAUUGGAAAAAAUCUUCCACCGUGCACAAAAUGGGGUGUGACAUCUCUGACGACUCUGCUGGAGAAUAACAAGAAUUAGAGCUUUGUUAUAUUGACUUUUACUAGAUUUUAUUACUUAUUUUGGAUAUAUUGCGUAUCAUGGCCUAAUGUACUACUUGCUGCUCAUUUAUUGCUUUUUAUACUGUUGAACUAUACUAAAUUGUUUUCUCUCGCACAUACCUUAUGAGUCUUUGAAUACACCUAACACACGUUCACAUGAAUGCAAUUAUACAUCCUACUUUCCCUCGACAAAAAGUUGGAGUGUCUUGACACCCAGUAAAUGAUAUUUAGUCACAUAUGUUAGGUGGAGUUAGACCAGCAAUGAACUUGGAAUAGUGCUGCUACUGAUAAGUUGCCCCUCUCUGGCUCGAGUUGUCCAUUUGGGUAAGCCAAUCUAGACACCUAUCUCCUUCAGGGUUAAACCUAGUGAAACUGAAACACAGAUGUGGCUACUACUAGUAGGCUCCACUUAUUUGCAUUAUUAUUUGUAAUUGACUUAGUGACUCAACAUAGGAUCGAAUCUGUCUAGGAUGUGUAUCCCUCUAUUAUUUGAUUACUUAGAUAGUUACAUGUGUUAAUUAUCAAAAAAUGCAUUUAUUUAGAAGGUCGUUGAUUUGCCAAUUGUAGGAUGAUUAGUGAAAUGAGAAAAAUAGUUUAACUUUCAAAUUUUGUAUAAAGAUAGGGAGAAAACACCAAAAAUAUUUCUACUUUUACAAGUUAUUAUACAUUUCCUAAAAAUGAAUUAAAAAGAUUUUUCACAACUUAACCAAAAUUGCAAAUAUAAUGUAUUUGUCAAGUCAUGCUUCAAUAUCUUAAAGUUUUUUUAACUGUCCAAAUUGAAUGAACUACGCGCACCUGAUUCUCACCCUAAUGAGAUACGUAGGCAACCCUAUUUGGGUUCGGUGAUCUUUACUCAAAAAUUUCAAAAAAAAAGACGUUAUUCCUUAUUAAAAAUGUCAAAAAAAAAUGAAAAAAAUAAUAAUUAAUCUUUGUUCAAGAAAAAAAGAAGUUUAUUUCUUAUAACAUAAAACAAGCAAAGUUUGUUUAUGAUUCCUGACUACGUUUGACCUGAUUCUUGCUUUGACAAGAUACGUAGGCAACCUUAUUUUGAGGUUCGGUCUAACAAAAAAAAAUCAAGAAAGUCUUCAUAACAACAAUUGGGGCAAAAAAAAGUGUUUUUUUUAUUAUUAUUAUUCAAAUUUAGAAUAAAAAUGUUUCUCUUAUUUUAAAAUCUAAAAAAAAAAAAGAUAAAAAAAAUGUUUCUUUAAAAGGUUUUUUUAGAAAAAUAAUUAAAAAAUAUUCUUGACUUGGUUGGUACCAAAAUAUUUAAGAGUAUGCAUAAAGAAAAGGAAAAGUGUUAAACUAUUUGGCAAGACAGACCAACUUUAUUGUGAACUAUCGACUUCUUUUGGUAUCUCUUGAUAUCUUUAUGUAAUACUUGAAAAACCCUUUUGCUUAAAGUUAAGGCUAAAACAAAUUCGAACUCAUGUUUCAUGUGUAUUGUAUUGUGAGCUUUAGAUAUAAAAUUCAAUGACAUGACUUUGUUGAUCUAGAACUUGGUCCGAAUGUUGAUUUGAACGUAAUUUUGAGCAACAUUUAACUUGGGAAAGGAUUAUAGGCUUUCUUUGAUCCAAUUGUGCCUUUCAAGCCUACCGAAUGACAUAUUAUCCAUAGAACUCCCAUUUCGAGCUGGAAACAUUUUCAUUUGAAUAACCAUAUUUUAGCGUAUAUCUUUUUGAGUGCAUAAAUGCACUAUUCCUUGAUCUCACCUCUUUGAGCGCACUAUCAAUUAUCUACACAGUGCCAAAGAUCUAAGUUGGGUAACAAAGUGAAAAAGGUCAAAUAUGUGAAAGUAAAAAAAAAAUGACAAAGAAAAUUUAGAAUGAAAAAAUGAAAAAAAACCUCCAACGAAAAGGAGAGAAAAUGGAAAAAAAGAAGAAAAUAAAUGAGGAGAAACUUUCGAGAAAAUAAAUGUCGAAUUCAAAAAUGAAAAAAUAUUGAGAGCAUUGUUCAAAUUCUAAGGAUAAAAUGGUCACUUUAUCCCAAAUGAAUAUCCUACAUUUCCCUAAGACUACAUUACAGGUCAAUGACAAGUCCUAUUUGUUCUCAUUUUUUGUAUUCUCACAUUAGUGGAUACUUACAUGAGGGCCAAGCAUAUGGUAUCUCAAUCUCAUGCAUUGAACAUCUUUCCGAGUGUGAAUGACUUUCAAAAUGUCCUACAAUCUAAAUUAUUCUACAGUGCGUGAAAAGGGACUUUAUUUGUGGUAAAGGCACUUGAAACAUGAGGAUAUGAAUAAUUCUAGUCUCUUAAUUUUUGUAAGAUAAACUGAUCUUGUUUAAUACUUGAGAAUGUUUGAGAUACCAUUUGAAAUUAUAGGAAUUAUUCAAAGUUGACCUCAAAUUUGUCUGAAAGUAGUUGAAGGUGAUUCAUAUUCAUAAUAUUAAUUGUUGGUACCAACCAAAGUCAAAACAUAGACAACGAUGAACUAAUUUGUUUCUCAAAAGAUGUCUUUUGUAGGAAAAAUAAUUUUUGAUUUUUAUGAACUACGUUUGACCUGAUUCUUGCUAUACAAGAUACGUAGGCAGUCUUACAAUAGGGCUCGAUCUCACAAAACAAAAUUUUGUAUCCUUGAACGAACGAAAUUGGAUUGAUAAAUUAAAAAGAGUUUCAAAGUUCCUCAAUUUAAAAAUUGGGACAUAUUUUUAUUUGUUAAAAAAAAUCACUAUCAUUACUAGGGAACAAACACCCUAGUUUCAUUUUGACAUUAGGGAGCAAACACUCUAGAGGAACCAUCUUUCAUUUCUAGGGAACAAACACCCUUGUUGCAUUUUGACCUUAGGGAGCAAACACUCUAGAGGCACCAUCUUUCAUUUCUAGGGAACAAACACCCUUGUUGCAUUUUGACCUUAGAUAACAAACACCCUAUAGGAAUUUUAGGGAGCAAAUACCCUAUCAUCUUUCAUUUCUAGGGAAUAAACACCCUAAUUGCAUAUGUGUCUUGCAUUUUUCUUUUGGUAUAAGUAUUUCUCAUUUAUGCUAAUAGCUUAUAUAAUAUUUUUCUGAUGCAAACUGGGAAAAAAUAAUAAUGUUGUGGUUUGAUGAUUCUGUUAAGCGAGAUCUUUCUAUGUAAUAUGAUUAGUGUAGCAGGACCCUCCUGAAUAAUGGGACGUAGUAUAGCAAGGACUCUCCUGAAUAAUGGGACGUAGUAUAGUAAGGAUCCUCCUGUAUAAUGGGAUGUAGUAUAGGAAGGACUCUCCUGAAUAAUGAGAUGCAGUAUAGCUAGGACCCUCCUGAAUAAUGGAACGUAGUAUAGCAAGGACUCUCCUGAAUAAUGGGACGUAGUAUAGCAAGGACCAUCCUGGAUAAUGAGACGUAGUAUAGCAAGGACCCUCAUACAUAAUGGGAUUUAGUUUAGCAAGGUCCUCCUACAUAAUGGGGUUAGCAGGACCCUCCUGGAUAAUGGGAUUAGCAUGACCCUCCUACAUAAUGAGAUUUAAUUAUUUUCUCCUAGGAUAAACACUUCCUAAUUUAAUAUUGUUAUUUUUUAUUUUCUCCUAGGAUAAACAUUUCCUAGUUUGAGACCUUUAUUUUUUAUUUUCUCCUAGGAUAAACACUUCCCAGUUUGAGACCUUUAUUUUAUUAUUUUUAUUUUCACCUAGGAUAAACACUUACUAGUCUAAGACCUUUAUUUUUAUUUUUCUCCUGGGAUAAGCACUUCUUAGUCUUAGACCUUUAUUUUUUAUUUUCUCCUAGGAUGAACACUCCCUAGUCUGAGACAGUUAUUUUUAUUUUCUCCUCAGAUAAACAUUUCCUAGUCUGUGACGUUAUGUUUUAUUGUUUUUCCUAGGAUAAACACUUCCUAGUCUAAGACAGUUUCUUUUUUCUCCUAGGAUAAACACUUCCUAGUAUGAUACCGUUAUUUUUAAUCUUCUUGUAGGAUAAACACUUCCUAGUCUAAGACCUUUAUUUUUAUUUUUCUCCUAGGAUAAACAUUUUCUAGUCUGAGACCGUUAUUUUUUAUUUUUCUCCUAGGAUAAACACUUCCUAGUCGAAGACCUUUAUUUUUAAUUUUCUCCUCGGAUAAACACUUCCUAUUCUGAGACCGUUAUUUUUUAUUUUCUCCUAGGAUAAACACUUCCUAUUCUGAGACCUAUAUUUUAUUUUUAUCCUAGGAUAAACACUUCCUAGUGUUAGACAGUUAUUUUUAUUUUCUCCUAGGAUAAACAAUUCCUAGUCUGAGAUGUUAUUAUUUAUUUUCUCCUGGGAUAAACAAUUCCUAGUCUGAGACCUAUAUUCCUUAUUUUCUCCUAGGAUGAACACUCUCUAGUCUGAGAAAGUUAUUUUUAUUUUCUCCUGGGAUAAACACUUCCUAGUCUGAGAUGUUAUGUUUUAUUUUCUCCUAGGAUAAACACUUCCUAGUGUGAGAGAGUUAUUUUUUUCUUCUAGGAUAAACACUUCCUAGUCUGAGACUAUUACUUUUUAUUUUCUCCUAGGAUAAAUCCUUCCUAGUCUAAGACCUUUAUUUUUAUUUUUCUCCUAGGAUAAACACUUCCUAGUCUGAGACUAUUACUUUUUAUUUCUCCUAGGAUAAAUCCUUCCUAGUCUAAGACCUUUAUUUUUAUUUUUCUCCUAGGAUAAACACUUUCUAAUCUGAGACCACUAUUUUUAAUUUUCUCCUAGGAUAAACACUUCCUAGUCUGAGACGUUAUUUUUUUAUUUUCUCCUAAGAUAAACACUUCCUAGUCUGAGUUUAUUUUUAAAAAUAAAUCACAUUUGCUAAUAACUCACAAAAACUUUCCAGUAAAAACUGGGGCAAAAGUUUUGUUUAUUUCUUUUGUUUGUGAUGGUUUUCAAGUUUCUUCAAGCGAUACAUGGAUUUGAAAUUCAAGAACAAAGUUUCAACUCUUUUCAAAAUGAUCAAUCUCCAUGAAAGCCAGAAUCAACUUCUGCAAUGCAUGUAGCAGUCUGACUUCCUGACAUCUAUUUUUAUUCAGCUACUGAUCAACAAAACAAGCAGGCCUUCAAGAACAUUUUCAAAUAGUCAUUUUGAAGAGUGCCAAAAACUCACUCUAAGUGGCAAGUUAAGCAUCGAAUCCAUUCAAGAUCAAGAUACUCACCAAAAUCAAAGUAGAUAUCUCAAAUUCAAGACUCAAGUGAAGACUCAAGAGAAGCUGCAUAGAUAGGAGCUUGUACUUUUAUUUUCCUUUUGACUAUUAGAUUUUUUUUAAUUUUUUUUAUGUAAGGGUAAGAGCCGCCACCUGGAGCCUCGAUGGGACCUCACUUAACUUCCAACUCAUCACCUCAUCUCCUUGAAUAUACGUGACCUGAUUCCCUUAUAACCCAGGAUAUGUAGGAUGUCCAAAAUCAAGACUCUGUCGCACAAAUUUUUCCUUCAAAUACAAGUCCGGUCAAAAUUUGUCACAUUAUUAUCUACUCCUUUGUCUGAAUACUCUUUGUCUUUCCAGUCAAAGAGGGGUAAACUGUAGACACGUCAUUUUUGACCGAACUUAAGUUUUACACCAUUUUUAGAGCUUAAAUAUUUUAUAAAAAUCUAAAUUAAAUAUUUUGACUUUUACCUUAUUUUAUUAACUUUAUUUUAAAAGAUUUGAAAUUUUCAAAAAAGAAAUGUUUUAGUUUAAUAAAUAAGCUAGUGUUUCUUAUUUAUAAUUUAUUAUUAGCUACUCAAUUUUUUGUAAGUUUAAAAAUAUUAUAUUAUAUUAUAAUAUAUUAAUUAUUAAAAUAAUAAUAAUAACUUAACACUCCUUCACAUCUUCCCACUACCCCAAUCUACCUUCACUCCCAUAUACUCAUUCCCUCACCCCUACAACCCCGCAUCACCCCACAAAUCAUUUAAGCUUCACAAAUAAAAUGCAAUAAGAGCAAUACUGAACUAAAAUAAUAUAUUUAGGGGUGCCAAAUGGGCGGGUUGGGUUGAAAUUGAAUAUAUUAAAACGGGUUGAAAUAGAAAUUGGAUUGGGUCUUGACCCGCCCCAUUUGACCCGCUUCAAAUGGGCUAAAAAUGGGUUGGGUCAUGACCCGCCCAAUUUGAUCCGAUUAAUCUCAAUAAUUUUAACAUAGUGAUAUUUAACUUUUAUAAUUACAAUUCGAAUUUAAGCUCAAGAUUAUUUUUAAAAAAAAGUAACAAAUGGAUAGAUAAAUCCUAAAAGAUGUUAAAUAGAUAAUAAUUCAUACCUUUAAUAUAGGAACAUAUCUUAGUAAAGAGUUUUAAAACGGGUUGAAAUUGGAGAUUGAUUUGGGCUCAAUUGAUGAUUCCCUUAAAAUGGGUUAGGCUUGAAUGAGUUGAGCUUGAACCCAAUUCAAAUUAUCUUGAACCCAACCCUUAAAAUUUUGGGCAAGUUGGGCGGGUUAUCUAUGUUUGAGUUCAUUUUUGACACCCCUAACUACAAUACAUAUAUGCCCACACGCACAUCACAAAAAAAAGCAUUAUGCACACUCCUAUAAACUACAACACUACAACAAACAUAAGAAGAAGAUAAAAAAAACAUACCAAAAAAUACAACCAAAAACAACCUUCUGAACAAAAAAAGAAGAGAAAAAAAUCAGAAAAACACACAGACGGAAAAAGAAAAGGAAAUCAGCAAAGAAAAAAGCAAUACCAAAAAACAAUACACAUCCACACCAAAUAUUAAAAAGAUUGUGAGUGUUCUAAUCGAGAUUCGUUCAAGAUUUUGCAGUUCUUAUUUCUUCAUUUAAGGUUCAACUUUACCUUAUAUCUUUGAUUUAUUUAUGGAAUUUGAUGUAAUUUUAUGGCACGUUGUCCUAUUUUUUUUAUUCAUAAUUUGAUUAAAAUGAACAAUUUGUUAGUUAUUAUAUCUCUAUUUAGUGAAUGAAGGUAGCUUUAACAAUGAUUACUUUUUAUUUUAUUUAUUUCUAUUCACUAGUUGUAACCUCUUAAAAUUGAACAGGUCAUGACAUUGUUCCUAUCUUGAUUUAGAUAAUAAUGAUAAAGUAGGUAUAGUUAGGCUAAAAUAAAGUAAUAAAUAAAUUAUUAUUAUUAUUAUUUUAUUUUAUCAAACAAAAAAUGAGAUGUAUUUCUAACAAUUCGUUAUUGUUUUGUUUGAUUAGAAAGUGUAUACUUAAUUUUGACAUUAACUUUAAGAGUUAAUAAAAAUAAAAGAAUACAAAAUAAUCCAAAAUUAUAUAUUGUAUCCUAGAAGUUUAGAUUUAUUUGAUUUUAUUUAAUAUUUUCUUAUAACAUUAGAAGUAAUAAAUAAAUUAUUAUUAUUAUUAUUUUAUUUUAUCAAACAAAAAAUGAGAUGUAUUUCUAACAAUUCGUUAUUGUUUUGUUUGAUUAGAAAGUGUAUACUUAAUUUUGACAUUAACUUUAAGAGUUAAUAAAAAUAAAAGAAUACAAAAUAAUCCAAAAUUAUAUAUUGUAUCCUAGAAGUUUAGAUUUAUUUGAUUUUAUUUAAUAUUUUCUUAUAACAUUAGAUGGAGUUUAGGCAUGUUAAAAAGAAAAUGAUUUCAACGAAGAAUGUGGUUACAAAUCUUUUUUUGAAACACUCAAAGGAAAUUCAAGGAUGGUUGAGACCAAAUAAAAGUUCAACAAUAAAAAUGUGAAUAAGUCAUGGCCUGAAAAUAAAAUAUCCAAAAAUAUUUUAAGUCAAGUAUAAGUCAAUAAAAGUGACCAUGCUAGAACCACGGGACUCGAGGGAUGCCUAAUACCAUUCCCUCGGUCAACAAAAUUCCUUACCCGAAUUUCUAGUUCGCAGACCAUAUAAAGAGUCAUUUUCUUUUGAUUGAGGAUUAAACAAAAAUGUGACUUAGAACACCAUAACUCAAUUCCAAGUGGCGACUCUGAAAUAUAAAAAAAAUAAUCUCUAAUCAAUACCGUCACUUAAGUUGGAAAAACCCUUCCGUCGUGCACAAAAAGGGGUGUGACAACAACAAUCACAAUCACAAUAUACAUACUCACGAUCAUACAAUUAAGAGGUGAUGCAUGGCAUAUAGUUAUUCUUUCAUACUCAUUUAAGAUGUGUGUGAUCAAUAGUGCAACAUUCACAUACAUACAUGCAAUAUAAUGAAGCAAGUACAAACAUAUAUCACACAACAUGAAAUCACAACCAUCACCUACCUCGAACAAAGCUUGAAUCCCCUAAGAAACUUGAUUUUUCCCUUUCCAGAUUAUUUCCGCUUGUUCUUGGUCUACAAACGAUCAUAAUAAUGAGAGAAUCAAUAAACAAGACCUAAAUACCCGGAUUAUAAUCAAAAUCAUCAACUCCAAGCCAAACCCUUGAUCCCCAUACCAGUUUAGGAUUUCUUCCACCAUAAAUCUCAUACCAAAACCCUCCCCCAUCGAUAAUUACUCAAGAAACUAAGUUCUACGGAUCGAAAAAUGGAUUCGGGGAGUGAAAACCUUACCUUUAGCCUUAAGAAUGGUGAAAAGCUGUCAAGAAAACGCUUGGGUUCGUUCGUUAGUUCUCAAAGUCGAAACUUGUAGAAUAAUGACAUUUUUGGGGUUUAUUUCCGACUUAAAUCGCGUUUGCUCCGCCACAGCGGUCCUUACCCCGCUAUAGAUUACCCCGCUAUAGCAGCCCCGCCCCGUCGUCACUAAUCCCACUCUGGCGGCUUGCGCGGAGACAAAACGUCGGGAAUUGAGUUCCAAACCUCCAUUUCACAACACACCUUCAUCCCAUGAUACUCAGAAAUUACCCGUUCAUAUUAAGAUCAGUUUGGGGAUUUCUACUCGCCCGAAUUAGAUUCUGUAAAGUCAUACGGGUUCCUUAACGUCUUAGCUAUCUAAUCAUAUGCUCAAAUUCAUAAUUUGAUCCCUAGACCUCACUGACUCCAAUUUCAUCCAAUUCUGGACUAGGUUGGGAAAUUUCAAGAUACUACCAAAAAGUUUUUCGGUCCAAAAUGUAUCCCUAUUGGCUUUAUUAUAACGACGGGAAUCAGUCAUUACAAUAGAUACCAAUUUACCCAUCACUCGUCCCUGAGUGAUAAACUAGGAAAAACAAGCUAAAGCUAGAGUGGAGUAGUACUUGAAUCAACGAACAACGGGGGAUACUUGUCUCGCAUGUCCUUCUCGGUUUCCCAAGUAGCUUCCUCAAACUAGACGAUACUUCCAUUGAACUUUCAUGGACUUAAUCUCUUUGGUCCUCAGCUUCCAGACAUCACGAUCAAGAAUUGCAAUCGGUUCUUCCUCAUACUGAAGAUCUUUGUCUAACACAAUUGAGUCUCAUUUUAUGAUGUAAUCCCCAUCGCCAUGAUAUUUCUUCAACAUGGACACAUGAAAUACCAGAUGAACUCUCGAUAAGUUAGGAGGUAAGGCCAACCUAUACACCACUGGCUCUACACGGUCAAGAACCUCAAAUGGCCCAAUGUAUCGGGGACUAACCGUGCCCUUCUUGCCGAAUCUCAUCACCCUUUUCAUGGGUGAUACCUUAAGAAGAACCUUCUCACUAGUCUGAAAUGCCAUGUCUCUUACCUUAUGGUCUGCAUACUUCUUCUGUCUACUUUGGGCUGCUAAAAGUCUAGCUUGAAUACUCCUCACUUUAUCUUGAGCAUCCUUUACUAAAUCGACCCCCAAAGGUUUCACAUCUCCAACCUCAAACCAUCCUAUGGGUGAUCUACACCCUCUCCCAUAAAGUGCCUCAAAUGGUGCCAUAUCAAUGUUGGAGUGGUAAUUAUUAUUGUAGGAGAACUCACACAACGGUAGGAACUUAUCCUAAUGCCCUCCAAAAUCAAUCACACAUGCCCUCAACAUGUCUUCUAACACUUGAAUAGUGCUCUCUGACUUUCCGUCCAUCUGCGGAUGGAAAGUUGUACUAAAAGUGAUUUGUGUGCCCAAUUCAUCAUGUAACUUUGUCCAAAACUUUGAGGUAAACUGCGUACCACGGUCUGAGAUGAUAGAAAGGGGCACCCCGUGCAACCUUACUAUAUCUUUCAUAUAAACCUUAGCCAAUUGUUGAGCAUUAUAAUUUGUUUUGACGAGAAUAAAAUGGGCUAACUUAGUCAAUCUGUCAACCACUACCCAAAUAGAAUCAAACUUCCCAAAAGUCUUGGGAAGACCAACCACAAAAUCCAUAACUAUCCUUUUCCACUUCCAUUCCGGAAUUGGAAUUCUUUGAGGCAAAUCAGCCGGCCUUUGAUGCUCAUAUUUUACUUGUUGGCGAUUUUGACACUUAGCCACAAACUCCGCUAUAUCAUUCUUCAUGCCAGGCCACCAAUAAAGUCACUUCAAAUCUCGGUAUAUCUUAGUCACACCCGGAUUAAUGGAAUACCUCGAACCAUGGGAUUCUGUCAAUAAAUUUUGAAUCAAUUCGCCCACUGUAGGAACACAAAUCCUUUCUUUAAAACUGAGUACACCUCCUGCAUCAAGAGUGGUCUGUUGUGCCUUGCCAGAAACUGUUUUAUUUCUAAGCUCUUUCAAAUGUACAUUCUCCAACUGUUCGGCCUUGAUCUCCUCAAUGAAUGUGGCCCUUACUACAAUGCUAUAUAACACCCCACCUUUAUUUGAGAUGCCCAACUGCAUGAACUUAGAUUCCAAGGUUUGUAUUUCCUUGGCCAAAGGUUUCUUGGUUACACCCAAGCCAGCUAAACUACCCAUACUCACCGCUCUUCGAAUUAGUGCGUCUGCCACUACAUUAGUCUUACCCGGAUGAAAUUGGAUGGUUACAUCAUAAUCCUUGAGUAACUCCAUCCACCUUCAUUGUCUCAAAUUCAGAUCCUUUUGAGUGAAUAUAUGUUGUAGACUGUGAUGAUCAAUAAAUACUUCACACUUAACACCAUAAAGGUAAUGUCGCCAGAUCUUAAAAGCAAACACUACUACUGCCAACUCUAAAUUAUGUGUUGGAUAAUUCCUCUCAUGCACCUUCAACUUCCGCGAUGCGUAAGCUAUAACAUUCUUAUCCUGCAUUAACACAGUACCCAAACUCGAAUGUGAAGCAUCACAAUAAACUAUAAAAUCUUUACCUUCCACCGGUAGCGCUAGAAUAGGUGUUGUGGUCAAAAGAGUCUCGAGAUUUUGAAAGCUUUCCUCAAAUUUUUCAGUCCAUUCAAAAGGUACCUCCUUUUUUGUCAAAUUUAUGAAAUGUGUGGCAAUAGAAGCGAAGUUUUUCACAAACCGACGAUAGUAACUUGCAAGCCCCACAAAACUCCUAAUUUCAGUCACAGAACUUGACCGGACCCAAUUCUUAAUUGCUUCAAUCUUUUGAGGAUCUACCGUUACCCCUUCCUUUGAAACUACAUGCCUCAAAAAGGCAACCGAAGUCAACCAAAAUUCACACUUAGAAAAAUCCGCAUACAAUUUUUGUUUCCCAAGAACACCCAGAACAAUACAAAGAUGGUUGGCAUGCUCUUUUUCACUUUUCGAAUAAACUAGAAUGUCGUCAAUAAAUACUAUCACAAACGAAUCAAGAAAGGGAUUGAACACCCCAUUCAUCAAACUCAUGAAAGUUGCAGGCGCAUUUGUCUCCCCAAACGACAUCACUAAAAACUCAUAGUGUCCAUAGCAAGUCCUAAACGUCGUUUUUGGUAUAUCCUCAGGCCUAAUCUUUAACUGAUGGUAACCAGACCUUAAAUCAAUCUUAGAGAAAAUUGAUGCACCCUGCAAUUGGUAAAAAAAUCAUCUAUCCGAGGCAAUGAAUACUUAUUUUGAAUGGUGACCCUAUUCAAUUGACAAUAGUCUAUGCACAUUCUCAUACUACCAUCCUUUUUCUUAACAAACAAGACAGGAGCAUCCCAUGAGCAAGCAUUAGGACAGAUGAAUCCUUUAUUAAAAAGCUCUUGGAUUUGAGCCUUAAACUCUCUUAAUUCUGCCGGAGCCAUGCAACAUGGAGGGAUGGAAAUGGGACGAGUAGUAGGUUCUAAAUCAAUGCAGAAAUCUAUAUCUCUAUCCGGAGGCAUACCAGGCAAAUCAGUAGGAAACACUUAUCUAAAUUCUGACACCACAUGAAUAGACUCAAUAGAGGGAGACUCAACCUCAACAUCCCGAAUGUGAGCCAAAUAAGCCAAACAACCCUGCCCUACCAGUUUCCUAGCCCGAAUGUAGGAUAUGAUCUUAGCUUGCUUAGGCUUGUACACCCAUUUCCACUCUAACUUUUUCCUACCGGGGAUCUCUAGAGUCACAUACUUAGUAUUACAAUUUAACAAAACAUAAUAGGGGGAAAACCAAGUCAUGCCUAAGAUUAUGUCAAAGUCAGUCAUAUCCAAAAUCACAAAAUCAGCCCAAGUCUGAAAAACCAUAAAUAAGAUAGGACAAGCACAAUAGACAUGAGUGACUAUGACAAACUCUCCAAUGGGGGGUAGAAACAUGGAUGGGGGCAUCAAGUAUAUCACAUAUCAUAUCAAAUUUUGAGGCAAAUCGCACGGACACAUAAUAAUAAGUAGAAUCCGGAUCAAAUAACAUAUUAGCCAUUCGGUCACAUACAAGAAUAGUACAUGUGAUCACCGCAUCAGACGCCUCUGCCUAGGUCUUGGCCAGAAAGGCAUAACAUUGAGCCAUGUCAUCAUGAUGGGCGACUUUCCUGCUUGGCUGCACUGUACCUCUGCCUGCGUUACCAUUUCCCCGACCUUCACAACCUCGCUGAUUUCCUCCUCGCCCACCUUGUGGACGCCCUCGACCAUUAUUACCAUUUCCCGUGGGUACCACUGCUCUAGUUUGCUGUUGCGCGGAAUCCAUCACAGAUAUAAGAAGUACGAUCAAAAGAUGGUUUGUUGUCCGUUGAAGGUGCGGCUCCCUGGCUAUCCUGAAUCAAAUUCUAAGGUGGAGUCCCUGAGUAAUUACAUGUAGAGGCGGGCAUGGCGAACUGAAUUGGCAGGGCUGCAAGUGUCGGCCUCCUUAAAGCUCUGGUGUAGGAACCCUAAAAGCUACCUGCAUUCUUAGCUUUCUUAGCCAAUGCCUUGGCCUGACCGUCUCGCCUACGAGAAAGGGUCUCCCCCUAUCAACUAUCUUAUUCAACAACAAAUUCUUUGAAAUUCAAGGCCUUACCCCCUUCACUUUCUUCACAAAAUCUGUUACCUCAUUAAAACUUUCCCUGCAGAAUUCAUGUGCACAGACAAUACCUGUAACUCAGAAUUCAGUCCCUUAAGAAAUAGACGGAUCCUCUUUUCCUCAAUAGUCAUCAAUUGCGUAGCAUAUCUCGACAAAGCAUGGAACUUGACCUCAUAAGCAGCCACAGACAUACCACCUUGCUCCAAAGUCAUGAACUCAUCCUUCUUACGAUCUCUCAAAGUCUAGGGCACAUACUUUUCCAAGAACAGAGCAUGAAACUGGGUCCAAGUGAGUAGGGGUAAAGUUGAAAAUUUGCACUCCACAUAAGCUCUCCACCACUUCUUAGUCUCGCCCUGAAGUUGAAAAGUCACAAACUCUACUCCAUGCUGAUGGACAAUUCCCAACUUAUGAAGCCUCUCAUAGCAAUCUAGGAUGAACUCAUAGGCAUCCUCCCUCUCAGAACCAUGGAACAUCGACGGUUUCAAUUUCAAGAACUUAGUCAACAUCGCAUGCUCAUUACCAGUCAUAACAAGACCCUACAAGGGACGGAAGAAAGCAUUAGUACCUACAGUUCCACCCACCUUGGGUACAGUGAUAAGAAUAGGGGGAUUGGCGGGAGCUUGAGUUGCUUGAAUAGAGGGAAGCACUCUAGGACCAACCAAUCCUUUCAAGAACGACAUAGUCUGUUGAGCUAACACUGGGUCCAAAGGACGAAUACUUAUAGCCUCAGCAUGCAUCUCUUCCUUUUGUCCAAUAUCCUCAUCAUUCUCAAACUCAACGUUCUCAUCUAUCUCUUCAUGAUGCACAUGAGGAUUCUUAUUUCUAGGAGCAUUCUCAACUGGAGCUCCACCCUUAGCGGGUGCUACCCUUCCACGACCUCUACCCCUUGCUCUUUCUCUACCCCUGCCUCGACCGCGACCUCUUAUUGCGGACUCCUCAGUGAGCUCAUUGACGGGAGCUACGGGACGGACACCGUUGAAGAGAGUGUUAACCAUCUGUGGACAGAAGAGUGAAGGAGGUUAGAUACCAAUUUGGAUCCCCGGAUACCAAUUAGAACCAAGUUAUAGCACGAAAGGAGACAAGGAGAAAAUAGAGAGAUUUCCUAAAGUCCUAUAUAGCCUCUCGAAGAAAGGACAAAAGUCUUUGUACCAUUCCGUAAGACUCUACUACACUCGUUUUGGUACAUCGAGAUCAACGGACAUAUGGCUCUGAUACCAACUUUGUCACGACCCCGACCAUCGUGAUUGACACCCACACUAACCCUCCGGUAGGAGAACCAUUACUACAAUCCAUAACCAAAAACUAAGGCAUUUAAAGCUACAGAAGCAGGUUUAAAUGCAGAAAAACUGAAGUUCCCAUAAACUUCAAAGGUCUAACAUUCGAUACUAAAAUAAUGCGGAAAUAAUGCCUAGAACCUGAAAGUCAAUGUACCAAAACUCUAGCCAACAUGUCUAAGAAAGUGGGUACAAUCCAAACUAAACAAGUGAAUUAUCUAAAGAACUAGUCUAAGUCCGAAGAAAUAGACUAAACAAGAGGAGAACUCAAGGCAGCCCGGAAGAACUGACUCACCCUUGAAUUCGACUGAUCACUGAUAUUCUAAACGAGGUCUGUCAGUAGCCGCCUGAAGAUGCCCUGUACUCAACAAAGAAAGAGCAAGUGCAGUAUCAGUACACAACCACAGUGUACUGGUAGGAUCAUAUGACGACUAUCCCACUAAGUGCAAUAUAAGCAAGUAAUUACAACAACACAAACAUGCAUACACCAAACAUAUACAAUAUCAAUAUCAAUAUCAUUUCAGGAUCAAUGUACAAUUCCACAAUCUCAACAAUAAGUGUAUGCAUAACAAGUCAUUGGUCCUCUCAUGGAACCCAUACCCAAAUAGUUAGUGUACCGGAUCUUGGCACCCGUUCCAAGUUAGCGUGUUGGAUCGUGACAUCUGUUUCAGUAUUUAUGUCAGUACGUGACAUCCGAUCCCAGUUAGUGUGUCGGAACGUGACACCCGCUCCAUUCAACAUACCAAAAUCACAAUCACAAUAUACAUACUCACGAUCAUACAAUUAAGAGGUGAUGCAUGGUAUAUGGUUAUUCUUUCAUACUCAUUUACUGUGUGAUUAAUAGUGAAACAUUCGCAUACAUACAUGCAAUAUAAUGAAGCAAGUACAAACAUAUAUCACGCAACAUGACAUCACAACCAUCACUUACCUCGAACAAAGCUUGAAUCCCCUAAGAAACUUGAUUCUUCCCUUUUCGGAUUCUUUCUUCUUGUUCUUGGUCUACAAACAAUCAUAAUAAUGUGAGGAUCAAUAAACAAGACCUAAAUACCCGGAUUAUAAUCAAAUCAUCAACCCUGGGCCAAACCCUUGAUCCUCAUACCCAGUUUAGGGUUUUUUCCACCAUAAAUAUCAUAUCAAAACCCUCCCCCAUCGAUAAUUACCCAAGAAACUAAGCUAUACGGAUCGAAAAAUGGAUUCGGGGAGUGAAAACCUUACCUUUAGCCUCAAGAAUGGUGAAAAGUUGUCAAGAAAACACCUGGGUUCGUUCCUUAGCUCUCAAAGUCGAAACUUGCAGAAUAAUGACGUUUUUGGGGUUUAUUCCCAACUUAAGUCGCGUCUGCCCCGCCACAGCGGUCCUUACCCCGCUACAGCGGCCCAGCCCCGGCGUCGCUAAUUCCGCUCUGGCGGCUUACGCAGAGACAGAACGUCAGGAAUUGAGUUCCAAACCCCCAUUUCACAACACACCUUUAUCCCAUGACACUCAAAAAAUAUCCGUUCACGCUAAGAUCAGUUUCUGGAGUUGUACUUGCCCGAAUUUGAUUCCGUAAAGUCGUACGGGUUCCUUAACGUCUUAGCUAUCUACUCAUAUGAUCAAAUUCGUAAUUUGAUCUCCCCGUUUGUUACCAGAUUUUCCUAGACCUCACUGACUCCGAUUUCGUCUCAUUCUGGAUUAGGUUGGAAAAUUUCAAGAUACUACCAAAAAGUUUUUCGGUCCAAAAAUUUUCUCCGUUGGCUUUUCUAUUACGACAGGAACUGGUCGUUACACUAAGUGAAUCAUAAGGGUUGAGAAGCUUGCAUACUAGCUUUACAAGGUUAAAUUUUGUGAUUACCCAAAAUGAGUCAUAAAGUCUUGGUGAAACACAAUCCUAAUUACUUUCUUAAUUAAUUUUUCCAUUUCAAUCAAUAUUGUUAAGGUUAUAUUUUACAAACUGACAUCAAAAGAUAAUCAAAUCCCCCAAAUUUUUUCCUUCUUUUAGAAAUAAUUUACUAAUAGGUUCUAUGUCAUGAAAGAUGCGCAUAUCAUUGCUUUUUGACUGAUGUUGUCUAAUCUAUUGAUUAGGGUGAACUGAAGAGACUUUAAAUAGUACAUAAACGCAGAAAAUACACAAAUUGGUGCGGUCUUUGGAAAAAAUAAUAUUCGAUUAGUACUGAAUUAUAUUAUAUAUACUAUACAAUUUAGGACUUUGAAUUCAACUAAACUUUUACUUAUUAAAUAUUUUCUUAUUCGAAUUAUAUUGGAAAUAAUAUAUAUUUAUUACUUUGUACUAUAUUUAGGACUACAAAAUCAACUUAUUUUAAUAUUAAAUUUUUCUUUACUAACUAUUUAGAAAUGAGUCUGUAGAACUUGUUAUGUGUAAAAAACAAAGGAUUUAAUUUGCAUCUAAAAAUACAAUUAUUGACUUUUUCUAUGACAAUUGCUACAUGUUAAUUAGGAUUCAAUUAUGGACUCUAAAACUUAGGAAAUAAUAUUAUUUUCUCUGUUUUAAUUUAUUUGGCAUAUUUUGAUUUAACACGAAAUUUAAAAAAUUAAAGAAUAUUUUUUAAUCUUAUAAUUUUAAAUUAAAGAUAGGUCAAAUAUAUCAAAUUGUUCUUUAAUCAUGUGGUCUUAAACAUGCAUAUGUCAUGUAGAAUUUGAAACUAGAGAAUUGCUUAAUGUGGAAAGAAUCAUUAUUUUUAAACGGACUAAAAAAGAAAGUAGGAAACGAAGGGAUAUGUUUUAUUAAUUAAAAAGGAUGAAAAGUUGUAGGGAAGUUAAAGUGCCAAGUUCUUAAUUUAUUUUAAAGCUUUAAAUAUUAAUUCAUUUAUAAAUUUUUUUUAGAAGUAAUAGCAUCUCUUUAUCAAGGUAGUCAAAAUAGAUCAACAUUGGUCGUUUUCAGGAACUUAAUUUUUUUUCUAUGGUAUUAAUGUUGUAAUUCAAAUAUAUUGCAAUAUUUAUAUAAUCUUCAAAGUUGUAUUUAAUGAUAUGAAUUACAUACGUAAUAAUCUAUUUUUUUUAUAUAUGUUUAUAAUUAAUUGACGCAGUACAGACCUUGCAAAACAAAACAGAUACUCUUCACUUGUUUAGAAAAAAUGUAUCAAAGGUUCAAAUAUUUUUAUUUUAAAAAAAAAAGUAAAUGAAAUUGCAAAUUCUCAAAGAUAAUAGUGUUAAAACUUUGUAUGAUUGCUUUAUUUUUACUUUAUAGCUUUUGAAUGCACAAAUCAGUCAGCCGUGGGUCCCAUCCAAAAUCCUUUUAUUUGGCUUGUUUACUUUACGGUUUUCUUUAACUCCACUAAAUGCAACUUUGUAUAUCCUUCUCUUCUCUUUUCUUUUUUUGUUUGUAAAAGAAGAUAAUGUGAGGUUUUUUUAAGGUUUAAGUUAUAUGUGGCCCCUUAAAGUUGUUCGCAUAUUUAACUUAGAUAUCUUAAUUAAGGUUAGUACCUAUUGAGCACUUAAAUUGUUUAAAGGAAAAAAAGUCUGAAAUAUAUUCGAACUUUGACCGAAAUUGUUGUAACAAUCCAAACUUUGGAAAUAACCUUUUACCCCUGAACUAUUUAAUAGUGUAUUUUAAAGGUAUAUAUGUAUCCACGUGGAUAUCAUAAAUAUUGCAUAAUUAUAAAUAAUAACGUGUCCACGUGGUACAUAUAUACCUCUAAAAUACACUAUUAAAUAGUGCAGGGAGUAAAAGGUCCUUCAUAAAGUUUGGUAUCGUAACAACAAUUUCGGUCAAAGUUGGAGUAUUUUUCAGACCAUUUUCCCUUGUUUUAAACAUGUAUUUAUUAAACACAAAAUGCUGAUAUGACAGAAAAAGUGUUUUUCACUUUCGUUUGGGCGCGUGAAAAUAUCUGAAAUCGUGUUUUAUUUUAAUUUUUUUUUGAAAAAAUUUAAAAAAAAAUCGUCUUCUAUUAACACUUGGCAUUGUAAAUAAUUUAAAAGAAUUUUUUAAAACAUUUUGAAAAUAAUAAUUUUUUAAUCCAAAAGAAAAAAAAGUUGCCCACCCCACUCCAUCUCCCUCACUUUUAGUCUUCUUCACCUCAAUUUGCAAAACCAACUGCUAUUUGUGUCUAAUUUUUUAAAAAAUAUUAACUAAUUAGAUCUGCAAAAAGAAAGAAGAAAUAAAAUCUUUGGACAUUAGAGUAAAAAGUUUAGCCGGCGUUCGUUCAACUCCAUUUUCGGCCACCUCUAAACAAACAUCACCAUUCAAAUUAAAAUGUAAACCCAUUUAAUUUAUAAAAAAUAAUAUCAGAGAAUUUGAUAAAAUAUUAAUUCGGGUUCUCUUGAUUUCUCUUUUGCCGUCGAUUUUGGAAUGAUUAUUUGUUAACAAUUUUUUCUUUUUCAUCACUCUAGUCGGAGUCACUCUCUAUAUCUUUCUCUCACAUAUUAGGUGUGAAGUUAUUAUUAUUUUUAAGUUGAAUCGAUAAAUAAUCAGACAACAUGUUGAGUUUUGUGGUUUGGGAAAAGAAAUGUUGUAGGGAGAAAAAUGUUACAAGGAAGAAGAUGAUGAAAGGGGGUGGGGUAGAUAUUAUAUUCAAUGUUUUUAUAUAUACAUAUAAAUUUUAUUUUUUUAAUUUAAAAAUCAUUUUUCAAUAAUUUUUUAGCCCACUUGCCAUAUGUGCUCUUUCCAUUAGUUAUUUUGCCAUGUCAUCGAGAGCGUAUCACACACACUUUACAAUUUUUGUUGAUUAUGAAAAAUGUCUAAUAGGUACAAGUUUUGAAUAGAUAAAAGUGUUCAAUAGGUAAUAGUCUUAAUUGAGGUGUCUAAGUGAAAUAUACGGACAAUUUUAAGGGAUCGUAGAUGACUUAAGCCUUCUUUUAAUAAAAAUAAUAAUUCUUCAUUACUUCGGGGGAGGAAGGAGGAAAGCAAAGUUAAUUUCUUAAAAGGGAUCGCUCAAUUUGAAAAAAAUACUUAAUAAAGUUAUAAGGAAUAUAUUGAUAAAUCACUAGGUAUGUGAAAUUUAUCAUAAAAAUAAAUAAAUAUAAGAGAUAUAUUAAUAAACAUGUAUAUAUGAUAAUGAUAUUUUGUUCUUAAAUUUUUUUUGUUUAUGUUAUGUUUAAGUAGCAUAAAUUCUUAGCUUCUUUCAAAUUACAAUAAAAAGCAAUUUUAUGGUUGGUCAAAUACCUUGAUUUUUUAUUUUUUUUUAAAUAAUCUCAAAAUAAAUGUUUUUGGCCAACUAGUAACAAUGUCAAACAAGCUCUAAACAUGAAUUUCCAAAAUUCGAUAUAGUAGAAUUCUAUUUUUAUUGCUUUGAAUCCUAGACUUCUAAUUAAGAAUUAGAAAGUACUUACCAUUCCAUCACACUUCUUAUUGGUAUUUUCCUGAUAGACUUAAACGUUAAAGAAAUAUGUUGUUGAGCUUAUUAGUGAUACUUAUUUGCAGCUCUCUAUUUUUAACUUGGUGAAUACUUAUUAUGUAAAUAGUAAAUGAGGUUUUAAUAAUUCUUAGUGAUUGAAGUUUUAUACUUCCGCCGGUAGGAAAUAAGAUAUUUAAUUAAAUAACUAUGUAACGAAUCAAUAUUUAUUUAUUGUAUUUUCAUAUAAAUAGGGAGUAAAAAAACUUUAUGAAAAGAUAUGACGAUCUCGUAAUUUCUCUAUGUAUGGGCAUAAACCUUUAACUAGUAGAAUAAAUUAAAUUAUAAAUUAAGGGGUGUUCCUGAUUUGAAUAAGAAUCGAUUCAAAACGAUUAAAUAAAUUAGUUUUGUUUUGGUUUGAAUUUAAGUUUUAAAAAUUAAUAAUAUUUGGUUGAUUUAGUUUUAUUAGAAGUAAACCGGAAGAAAAUAAAACCAAAUUGAUAAUAUAUAAAUUUUAUAGUUAUAUAUAAACAAAAUUAUUUUUUAUAAAUAAUUAUAAAUACUUUGUAUACUUUUUCAUCAAAAAAUUUGUUUGUCUCUGAUAUGCGAAUGAACUUUACACCUCAAACUCAUUUAUUAAAAAACAAAAAAAAGUCAUAAAUUUAAAAUCAUUUAGUCAAAGAAAUAAUUAUGAUAUAUAUAUUAUUUUUUAUCAAUUUUAUUCACUUGAUUAAAAUUUAUAAAUGUUAAAACAUUUUCUCCAUAAUUAACAAUUAUAGCCACCACAAUAUAAGGUUACUAAGCUAUCAGACUAUAAGUUGGAACGUAUGGAUGAAAAAAUAUUUUCUAGUUUGGGGGCGAAUGAAAGAAACGAAGGUAAGAGUCAAAAUACACCGUGAAGAAGAGUUUACUUAUGAGCAAAAGAGGAGGACGAAGUCGCAGGAGAUUAUGGAGAGAGGGAGGGGGGAGGGGGGAUAAAACAGAGAAGUAUUAGUAUAUUUCUUAAAAAUAAAAAAAUUGAACCAAAUAAAUAAUACCAACCGAUGAAUAUGAAUUAUGUUUUGAUAUGAUUUGAUUUUAAUAAUUUAAAAUCAACUGUAUAUAUCUGAUUUUAAUUUAACAUCUUAACUAACCCAAUCGAACUAUGAAUUUCCUUAAUAAUAUUGAUAAAUGAAAGUUGAACGACAACAUAGACUGUUAUAACUAAAGAAUAUUCGCGUGGGUGAGUAUUGCAGCUCAGAAAUGGUGUACUUUUAUGGAUCAAAGGCAUUGUUCUAUUCAUAAUCACGUUUUAGGUUAGGCUUAACCCAUCGGUGACCCCCUAAAGUUGACAUCAUUUUUCACUUAGACAACUUAACCAAUUGAUGUUCAUUUUAGACACUCCAUAUAAAAUCUCAUUGUGUCAAUUUGACACAUUUUGCUUACAUGCCAUUGAGUGUAUUACACUCAUUAAUUGUCACGUGAAAUGAUUAUUUCAUUAAUUUUAAUUAUUUUUUUCAUCUUCUUCCAUAUUUUCAGCCACCUUUUUGCCUAAAUUACAUUUCAUCCAUGGUAAAGGAAAGUUUCAACAAAAUAACAGAGUAAAUUUCCUUAAACUAAGCUAAAAAAUUUUUCUUUAAACUAACAAAAUUCUUCCAUUGGCCAUCAAGCUAUUUAAUAAUCCCCAAAAAAAGGAAAAAAAUGAUCAUAGCUCCAGAUGUUUCUGCAAAAAGAUAAGACAGUGGAGGCGGCCAGUUUUCCUGCAAAAGGCGUUUUGUUUGUGCGUGGGUGGGUGGGAGGCACACAAAUCGGGAGGGGAUUUUCGGUUUUGGGGGCUAUUUCGCAGCACAAAUUAAGAGAGGGGGAGGGGGGGUUGCUGCAAAAGAGUUGGGAGUAUUUGGAGAAGAGGACUCAGUUGGUGGGGUGGGGUGGGGGUUCUUUUUAUUGAUUUUAAAUUUAAUUUUUAUUUUAUUUUGUAAUUAUUUGGUUCAUGGGUCAUUAAUUCAUUGGUCCAUUUUUAUUUUUACUUAAAAUUAAUUAUUUAAAAAUUACUUUGGACACAAAUGACAAAUGCCGUCACUUAAUUUGUCACUUUACACGUCAUUCGCGAGUGUAAAACACACACACUAUAUUUUUGUUGAGACUUAAGUCAUCUGUGGCCCCUUAAAGUUGUUCAUAUAAUUCACUUAGACACCUUAACAAACCUUGUUUCCUAUUAGACACUCUAAUCUUAAAAUAUAAGUACCUAUUAAACAUUUUUCUGACACUUAGUCUAAAGAGAUGUGCGUGUAAUACACAUGCAUAUGAUGUGACAAAUUGACGAAUCAAAUGAAGACACGUGGCAUUUUAAUUUAAAAUAAUUAUAAAAAUAAAUUUUGAAUAUAACAAAAUCCUAAAAGAAAAUACUUUAAACUAAAAGAAGUAAAAAGAAAAAAAAAAUAUACAACCCUUAACCCCACCCCCGCACCCCACCCACCUCAAACCUCUCAAUUUCUUCUCUUUCCCUAACAGUUGCCUUGUCCACCAUUGUUAACCUUCAUUUAGAAAAUUAGAGGUUUUAACAUAUAUUAUGAAUGAAUUUAUCAUUUUUAUUUCUUUUUAUGCCUUCUUUCUUAUUUUCAUAUAAAUUGAUGGUGUUUUCUUAAAAGAUCCGUCUUUUUUAUUUUGAUAUCAAUUUUUUUUGUUCGAUUUGUGAGGAAGAAGGUGUGUGUGUGGGGAGAGGUGAAGAGGGACAGAGUAAAUAUUUGAAUAAUGAUCUCCAAUUUUUCCGCAAAGAAAACGUACAUAAUAACCUCCAUUUUAUCCGACAAAGAACUGGUGAUCUCCAUCUUUUUUCUGGAAAAAGGAAGACGGAAGUAGACAAUGAUAACAUGAUUUUAAAAAAAAUAAAAAAAGAAGAAAAUUUGUGGGGGAAAUGGUGAUGGAUUGUAUUGAAGAAGUGGUUGCAGUAGGUGUGUGGUUUUGAAAGAGAGGAAGAAGAAAAAGAUUGUUAUUUUUUAAAAAAAUAAUGAGAAAUAUAAAGAAAAAAUUGAAAAGGAAAAGGAAAAAUGUUAAAAUAUUGUUUUCACGCGCUCAUCAAGAUGUGAAUUACACUUUUUGUGCCACAUCUGCAUAAAGUGUCUAAAUGGUUCAAAUUCGAGAUGGUAGAGGUGUUCAAUAGGUACUAGUCCUAGUUGAAGUGUCUACGUGAAUUAUGCGGACAACUUUAAGGGGUCGCAGAUGACUUAAGCCUUUUUGUUGACAUUAAAAAAAUGUCAGAAUGACACAAUAGAACCCUACAUGAGGUGUCUAAAAUGAACAUGACUCAGUUAAGGUGUCUAAGUGAAACAUGAUGCCAACUUUAGGGGGCCACCUGUAACACCCCGAUUUUUCAAAACAUCUAAAUUAACUCGUACCUUCGUGGAAAGACAAAGAGGGUGAGUCAUAAAUUAAGAAUGAUGUGGUAUGUAAUAUUUUAAGUGUUCAACGGAUGUAUCUCAAGUUUUAAAGUUAGGUAAGUGGUAAAAUAAAAGUUGGUGAAAAUUAUCGUAAGUUCCUUUUUAAAGAUUUCUCUGAAAUUUGGGUCAAAUGUCUUGGAUGUUUUCUCCCAAUAUAUAAAGAGUCGGAAGGCCUAUCACCCAUUAAAUCGAAGGCCUACGAGUCUAGUUUGCAACGCACAAAACCCCGUAUCCAACCGACAUCAGAGUAAAAAGUUAUGAGGGUUUUACUACGGACUACCUGGGCAGAAUCCGGGUCAGGUAAAAAAUGUGGUAUGUCGGCUUAUUUAACAUUUUAAGCCAUGAAAACAUUCCAUUUCACUUCCAAAACAGAAAGAAAGCUUAAGAGAGGGUUCCUAUGGAGUUCUUGCAUGAUGAAGGUUAGUUUUUGACGAUUUCUACCAUUAAAGGUUUCCCCCGUGCCUAGAAACGUAAUCUCUACACGUGACAAUCUUUUUACCCUUUUAUUAACUGCAUUUGGUGCGAGUUUUUGAAGAUAUAAAUUUGUGGUUUUUGGUGUUUCUUCAAGAUUUACACGUGGUUAACUAAGGUAAUCAUCUCGGGACCCUUUUAUGGUUGUUUUUUUUGAAUUUCUAAGGACGUUUUGACAAGUUGGAGAAAUAUGGCAAAUCUUCCGAUUUAAGAUUAAUUAUGAAUUGUUUAUAGGUGCAUUUCACCUGUGUAUAUAUAGUGUUUUUGAAGCUUAGGACAUAAGGAACAACUUUCGUGAAGGAACUAUGGUCUUUCGAGCGUUCAUUGAAAAAGUAUGUUAAGGUUAUUCCAUACUUACGGCAUAUUUCCUUAAAGCUUAGGAGCAAUGUAAUUGGGUUGUUAUCCUUGUUAUACUUGUAGCCAUUAUUGUUGAUUGUUGGCUGCUCGAGUUGAUAUAAUCCUCCCUUGUCGGGAUUCUUAUUCAGUUAGUAGCGUCCCUAUGUUGGACACGACUUAGAGGCUAUUUGUAUAGGUUGCUUAUAACUAAAUUGCUCACUUUUAGCGAUUGGAUUGAUAUUGUUGCCCUUGGGGCUAUUGUGGUUAGCUACAGGAAUGUGAUCUAUGCCUAGAAGGGCUAUGUUCUGCCUACGGGGCUAUAUGCAUGUCUGAAAGGACUAUGAGUUACCUACGGGGCUAUAUUGAUGCCUAGAAGGGCUAUGAGUUGCCUAUAAGGUUAUAUUGACGCCUAAGAAGGCUAUGUGCUUCCUAUAGGGCCAUGUUAUUGCCUAAGAGAACUAUGUGCUUCUUAUGGGGCUAUAUUAAUGCCUAAGAGGGCUAUGUGAUUGCAUAUAGGGCUAGGGGACUACCGAUAGGGGUAUAUAGACUGAUUGACACAUUCCGGGCUUAUAGGGGACUGAGUAGGUGGUCUUGUGUGUUGUUUGUACCUGCCGAGCUUAUGGGGGCUUGGUUAGGUUGUUGUUUUAUUAUUUUUGAUAAGUUUAGAUUUAAGAGCAGGUCAGUACACUUAUCUUAUCCUUGAUUUAUUUAUCGGAUUAUUCCAGUAUAUUAGGAUUCCUGCUCAUAGUCUGUUGCCUUUCAUACUCUGUACAUUAUUUUGUACUGACUCCCCAUUGCCUGGGGGCGCUGCAUUCAUGCAUGCAGGUCUCGACAGACGAUCAAGUAGACCUCCUCAGCAAAAAGAUUGACUUCUAUCCAGUUGGCUAGCCCCUUUCUUUCGGAGCUGCCAGAGUUGGGAGGUUUGUUAGCUUUUGUUGUAUAUAUUCUUUAUGGGUAGGCUGGGGCCCUGUCCCGCCAAUCUUUACUACUCUUAGAGGCUUGCAAACUAGUGUGUGAGCUGUAUAGCUACGUUAUGGUCAUGAUGGCCUAGUUUGUUGGUUUGCUGAAGCCUGUGAGUUGUUUGAUGUAUUGUUUUGAUAUAUACCUGCUUUCAGUUUUGGUAUAGAUAUCAUGGUGGCCUCGACUGCCUAAUUAGAACUUCUGUGCUAGUUGGCUAUUUAUUUAUAUGAUCUCCUGGGAGUAGCUGUUUCUUUUAUAUAUCAGUUGACAGGGGCCUUGCCGGCCGAGGGCUUAGUUUUAGGCCGAGAUAUACUUGUUUGUUUUCUUGAUUGCAUGUGGCUGCCAUGUGCUAGUAGCAAAUGGUUCAGCAGGGUCGGCUCGGGCCUGAGUUUUGGCAUUAGGAGCCAGUUGUGCCCCUUGAGUUUAGGGCGUGACAAACUUGGUAUCAGAGCAACGUCGUAUCCUAGGGAGUCUGCAAGCCGUGUCUAGUAGAGUCUUGUUUAUAAAUGUGUUGUGCACCACAUUUGAUAAGCAAGAAGCUACCGGGCAUGUUAGAAUGACUAUCCUUAUUUUGCUCACCUCGUGCUAUAGAGCGGUGUCUUAAGGGUUGAGGUUUCUUGCUUAUAAUUGAUACUUGUAUGCAGAUAGAGAUGGCUGACACUAGACAUACCACAACUAGCCAGGGGGAGGGUACUGACAAGGUACUACAGGUGGAGGCAGCCCAUUGUGAGACCCAGGGGGAGACAUCUUCUCAGCCCCUUAUAGCUUCUCCACAGCUUCAGGAGCCUCCGAGGGCUAUAAGACCCCCGGCUCCACCAGUAGUACCACCUCUAGUUCCUCAUAUUCCAUCUAACCAGGAUUUCAAGAGUGUAGUAUGUAUGUUAACACAGUUAGUAGUUGCACAACGCCAGACAGUUGCACCAGAUGUUGUCGAACCUUCUGAAGGGCCCGGAAGUUCAAGAGUUCGUGAAUUUCUUGCCUUGAAUCCUCCACAGUUUACAGGGACAGAUCGCAGAGAGCACCCUCAACACUUUGUUGAUCAGCUUCAUAGGAUCUUCAGAGUCAUGCAUGCCUCAACGGCUGAGUCAGUUGAGCUAGCAGCAUUUCGAUUGCGUGAUGUUGCAGUAUUGUGGUACGAAAGUUGGGAGGGAUCUAGGGGAAAAGAUGCAUCUCUACCCACUUGGGAUAGCUUUACAAAAGCUUUCAUUGAUCACUCUUUGCCUCAAGAGAUUAAGGAUGGCCGGGUGGACCAGUUUCUGAACCUCCGACAGGGCAGCAUGAGUGUCUGAGAGUACGGGCUGAGAUUUGAAUCAUUGGCUAGAUAUGCACCAGCAUUUGUUGAUACAAUGCAUGAUAGGGUGCGUAGAUUUGUUGGAGGGCUCGACUCAGACUAUAUCGACGCUUGUUCUACCGCUGCACUAAAUGAUAACAUGAAUAUCUCGUGAAUACAGGCCUUUGCACAAGGCAUAGAGGAUCGCUGACGUCUACAAUAUAUGAGUGAGAGGGUAGAGAGAGAGAAAGAAGACAGCUAGGCCCACUGGUUCACAGGGAGAUUUUCAGGGUGGUUCCAGACCCCGAUAUUCUAUUAGGCCACCUAAACAUCCACCACAACAGCUCCAAGGUAGUAGAUUUGAUUGUCAGGGACAGUCAGGCCCAAGUGAUGGUUCACUAGCAUCAGGCUCUCAACAGCAAAGGGGUUCAGGCCAGGCUAGGACAGCCCCGCCACGUUGCGCUUAUUGCGGUAGGAUGCAUUUCGAGAGGUGCAGACAGGGUUCCACAGGUUGUUAUUCUUGUGGAAAGGAGGGGCAUGGGUGGAGAAACUGCCCGACCAUAGGUCAAGGUGCCAGGUCAGUAGUAGGUUUCUCUUCAUCAACACAGUCUACAGGGUGUGGACCCCAGACUUCAGCAGGUAGAGGUAGAGGCGGAGGUAGAGAGGGGGCAUCUAGUUCUGGUAGUGGCCAGAACCGUACAUAUUCACUAGCUGGACGACAGGACUCAGAGUCAUCACUAGAUGUUGCGACAGGUACAUUGAUUGUUUGCUCCCAUUGUGUUUAUGCUUUGAUAGAUCAUGGAUAUACUCUAUCUUAUGUUACUCCAUUUAUUGCGGCAAAGUUAUGUAUAGUAGACGAGUCAUUAGAUCGACCCUUUAUUGUAUCUACACCAGUUGGUGAGUCUAUUAUUGCCAAGAGAGUCUAUCGAGGUUGCACGAUAGAAAUUAUCGACCGUCAUACCUCUGUAGACCUUGUAGAGUUAGAGAUGGUUGAUUUUGACGUCAUUAUGGGUAUGGACUGCUUAGCGUCUUGUUAUGCUAAUGUUGAGUGUCGGACAAAGAUUGUUAGAUUCCACUUUCCAGGAGAGGUAGUUUGGGAAUUGAAAGGCGAUACAACAACACCAAAAGGUAGGUUUAUUUCUUAUCUUAAGGCGAGGAGGAUGAUUACUAAGGAUUGUAUUUAUUAUCUUUUUCACGUUCAUGAUAUAGAUGCAGAAUCAUCGACUCUUCAGUCUAUUUUGGUAGUUAAUGAGUUUCUAGAUGUAUUUCCAGACGAGCUCCCUAGUAUCCCUCCAGAACGGGAAAUUGAUUUUGCUAUCGAUAUGCUACCAGGUACACAACUCAUCCUAUCCCUCCUUAUAUGAUGGCUCUUACUGAGCUGAAAGAGUUGAAGGAUCAACUGAAAGAUUUGCUUGGUAAAGGAUUUAUCAGGCCUAGUGCUUCACCAUGGAGUGCACCAGUAUUAUUUGUGGGAAAAAAAGAUGGCUUGCUGAGGAUGUGUAUCAAUUAUUGAUAGCUGAACAAGGCUACUAUAAAGAAUAGGUAUCCCCUUCCGAGGAUCGAUGACUUGUUUGAUCAACUACAAGGUGCUAAGUACUUCUCGAAGAUUGAUUUGAGAUCAGGGUACCAUCAGGUACGAGUUCGAGAGAAAUAUAUUUCGAAGACAACUUUUAGAACUAGAUAUGGGCAUUUUGAGUUUUUGGUUAUGUCUUUUGGAUUGACCAAUGCCCCAACAAUGUUCAUGGACCUGAUGAAUAGUAUAUUCAGGUCGUAUCUAGACUUGUUUGUGAUUGUAAUUAUUGAUUAUACUUUGGUGUAUUCACGUUUAAAAGCUGAGCAUGUAAAUCAUCUGCGAGCAGUCCUUCUGGUUCUUCGAGACCGAGAACUUUAUGCAAAGUUUUCUAAGUGUGAGUUCUACUUGAUUAUUGAUUAUACUUUGGUGUAUUCACGUUUAAAAGCUGAGCAUGUAAAUCAUCUGCGAGCAGUCCUUCUGGUUCUUCGAGACCGAGAACUUUAUGCAAAGUUUUCUAAGUGUGAGUUCUACUUGGACUCUGUAGCUUUCUUAGGCCAUAUUGUAUCAGAUGCAGGCAUUGUGGUUGAUACACAAAAGAUUGAAGCCGUAAAGACUUGGCCCAGACCCAUGACUCCGACUGAGGUUCGUAGUUUCUUUGGGUUAGCUGGUUACUACAGAAGGUUUGUUAGAGGGGUUUUCUUCACUUUCAACACCAUUAACGAAGCGGACUUAAAAAGCAGCUAAGUUCCAGUGGACUGAGGCUUGCAAGCAUAGUUUCCCGGAGUUGAAGGACAGAUUGACAUCAGCACCAGUUCUAGCAUUGCCAGAGGGUUCAGAAGGCUAUACGGUGUAUUUUCAUGCUUUCGGUGUUGGGUUAGGAUGUGUUCUAAUGCAACAUGGUAAGGUUAUCACAUAUGCUUCAAGGCAGUUAAGAAAGCAUGAGAAGAACUAUCCGACCCACGAUUUAGAGUUGGCUGCAGUUGUGGAUUCAUUAAAGAUCUGGAGGCAUUAUUUGUAUGGCGUUCAUGUUGACAUCUUCACAGAUCAUAAAAGCCUUCAAUAUAUCUUUAGAUAGAAGGAGUUAAAUCUGCGACAGCGUCGAUGGCUUGAGUUACUGAAAGAUUACGACAUGGAUAUUUUAUAUAAUCCAGGAAAGGUGAAUGUGGUAGCCAAUGCCCUUAGUCAAAGAUCUAUGGGUAGUUUAUCCUAUUUAGGUGUUUAGAAGCGUGAGAGCUUCAUCGGUUAGCUAUCUUGGGAGUCAGAUUGUUAGAGGCAAAAGAUAGUGGGGUAAUAUUUCAGGACACAACCGUAUCAUAUCUAGUUGUAGAAGUAAAAUCACGGAAACAAGAGGAUCCUAGCUUAGAGAAACUAAGAGCCAAGGCUCAGGAUCGACAGUCUUUAGCAUUUGAUAUGGCAGGAGAUGGAGUCCUUAGAUAUAGCAGUCGAUUGUGUGUUCCGAAUUUUGCAGGGCUUCAACAUCAGAUUAUGGAUGAGGCACAUCAUUCUCCUUAUUAUAUUCAACCUGGUUCGAUGAAGAUAUACCAUGAUAUCAUGGAUAUCUAUUGAUGGCACGGGAUGAAGAAGGACGUUGCUGAGUUUGUGGCACAAUGUCCUAACUGCCAACAGGUGAAGGUUGAGCACCAAAAGCCCGCUAGGCUAGUUAAGGAGAUAGCUAUUCCUUUGUGGAAGUGGGAAGCAAUUAACAUGGAUUUUAUUAUAGGGUUACCUUGAUCGAGUCCCAAGUUUGACUCUAUUUGGGUAAUUGUUGAUAGACUAACAAAAUCAGCCCACUUCUUACCAGUCAGGACUACUUUUACGGUCGAAGACUAUGCAGGGCUCUAUAUUAAAGAGAUUGUUAGGCUACACAGUGUCCCAGUAUCUACUAUCUCUGAUAAAGGAGCACAAUUUACCGUCAACUUCUAGAAGUCCUUCCAGAAAGGACUGGGGACACAUGUUAAUCUUAGUACAACCUUUCACCCUCAGACAAAUGGCCAGGUUGAGCGCACAAUUUUGACACUCGAGGAUAUGUUACGAGCGUGCACGCUAGACUUCAAGGGAAGUUGGAAUGACCAUUUGCCUUUUAUUGAGUUCGCAUACAAUAAUAGUUAUCAUUCCAACAUCGGGAUGGCACCUUAUGAGGCUUUGUAUGGGCAAAAAUGUAGAUUCCCCAUUGGAUGGUUCGAGGUAGGUGAGUCAAAGUUGAUUGGACCCGACUUGGUACAACAGAUAGUGGAGUAGGUUAAGCUCAUUCGGGAGAGAUUGCUAACAGCUCAAAGCCGAUAGAAGUCAUACUCAGAUGUGCGACGAAGGGACUUAGAGUUUUGUGUCGAUGACUGGGUAUUCUUAAAAGUCUCGCCUAUGAAGGGUGUUAUGAGAUUUGGCAAAAAAGGCAAGCUUAGUCCAAGAUUCAUUGGGCCAUACCGGAUCCUUCGGAGGGUAGGGCGAGUGGCUUAUGAGUUAGAAUUUCCUUCGGGGCUAGAAUCUGUUCAUCCAGUUUUCCAUGUAUCGAUGCUACGAAAGCGCGUAUGAAACCCUUCUCGGGUUGUCCUGGUUGAGGAUGUUCAUAUCACAGAGGAGUUGUCCUACGAAGAAACUCCAAUUGCCAUAUUAGAUCGGCAAGUCCGUAAAUUGAGAACCAAAAAGGUGGAUUCGGUUAAAGUAUUGUGGAGAAACAAGAAUAAAGAAGAGGUGACCUGGGAAGCUGAGGAUGACAUGAGGUUCAAAUAUCCUCACUUGUUUCAUACCCUAAGGUGAUGGCAUAUCCGUUUAUCUUAGUGCAGUGAGGUUAGAUACCUAUCUAAUUAUUUAUAUAUUGUUGCUUAUUAUUAUUAUUGUUGUCAUUGUAUAUUUGCUCGCACUGUUAUUGCGGAGCUAUAGUGCUUAGCUAUUUAUGUCAUCCUAUGAGACACAUAGGUUAAAAUUUUUGCAUUUCAUGCUCCUGGAUAGUCACAUUUACAAAGGAUACUCUGCCUAAAUUUUGGAAACUCCUAAGGACUUAACGGCGUGACUCAAAUUUUUUUCAUUCGAGGACGAAUGUUUCUAAGGGGGGAAGAAUGUAACACCCCGACUUUUCAAAACAUCUAAAUUAACUCGUACCUUCGUGGAAAGACAAAGAGAGUGAGUCAUAAAUUAAGAAUGAUGUGGUAUGUAAUAUUUUAAGUGUUCAAGGGAUGUAUCUCAAGUUUUGAAGUUAGGUAAGUGGAAAGAUAAAUGUUGGCGAAAGUUAUCAUAAGUUCAUUUUUAAAGAUUUCUCUGACAUUUGGGUCAAAUGUCUUGGAUGUUUUCUCCCAAUAUAUAAAGAUUUAGAAGGCAUAUAACCCAUUAAAUCGAAGGCCUACGAGUCUAGUUUGCAACGCACAAAACCCUGUAUCCAAUCGACAUCAGAGUAAAAAGUUAUGAGGGUUUUACUACGGACUGUCGGGGCAGAAUCCGGGGUCGGGUAAAAAAUGUGGUAUGUCGGCUUAUUUAACGUUUUAAGCCAUGAAAACAUUUCAUUUUACUUCCAAAACAGAAAGAAAGCUUAAGUGAGGGUUCCUAUGGAGUUCUUGCAUGAUGAAGGUUAGUUUUUGACGAUUUCUAUCAUUAAAGGUUUCCCCCGUGCCUAGAAACGCGAUCUCUACACGUGGCAAUCGUUUUUCCCUUCUAUUAGUUGUGUUUGGUGCGAGUUUUUCAAGAUAUAAAUUUGUGGUUUUUGGUGUUUCUUCAAGAUUUACACAUGUUUAACUAAGGUAAUCAUCUCGGGGUCCUUUUAUGGUUGUUUUUAUGAAUUUCUACGGACGUUUCGACAAGUUGGGGCAAUAUGGAAAAUCUGCCGAUUUAAGAUUAAUUAUGAAUUGUUUAUAGGUGCAUUUCAGCUGUGUAUAUGUAGUGUUUUUGAAGCUUGGGAUAUAUAGAACAACUUUUGUGAAGGAACUACGGUCUUUCGAGUAUUUAUUGGAAAGGUAUGCUAAGGCUAUUCCCUACUUGCGACAUGUUUCCUUAAAGCUUAGGAGCAAUGUAAUUGGGUUGUUAUCCUUGUUAUACUUGUAGCCAUUAUUGUUAAUUGUUGGCUGCUCGAGUUGAUAUAAUCCUCCCUAGUUGAGAUUCUUAUUCAGUUAGUACCGUCCCUAUGUUAGACACAACUUUGAGGCUAUUUGCAUAGGUUGCCUAUAACUAAAUUGCUCACUUUUAGCGAUUGGAUUGAUAUUGAUGCCCUUGGGGCUAUUGUGGUUAGCUGCAGGAAUGUGAUAUAUGCCUAGAAGGUCUAUGUUCUGCCUACGGGGUAAUAUGGAUGCCUAAAAGGGCUAUGAGUUGCCUACGAGACUAUAUUGAUGCCUAGAAAGGCUAUGAGUUGCCUACAAGGGUAUAUUGACGCCUAAGAAGGCUAUGUGCUUCAUAUAGGGCCAUGUUGUUGCCUAAGAGGGCUAUGAGUUGUCUAUAAGCUAUGUUGAUGUCUAAGAGAACUAUGUGCUGUCUACGGGGCUAUAUUAAUGCCUAGGAGGGCUAUGUGACUGCCUACAGGGCUAGGGGACUACCGAUAUGGGUAUAUUGACUGAUUGGCACCUUUCGAGCUUAUGGGAGAUUAAGUAGGUGGUCUUGUGUGUUGUUUGUACCUGCCGAGCUUGUGGGGGCUUGGUUAGGUUGUUGUUUUAUUAUUUUUGAUAAGUUUAGAUUUAAGAGCAGGUCAGUACACUUAUCUUAUCCUUGAUUUAUUUAUCGGAUUAUUCCAGUAUAUUAAGAUACCUGCUCAUAGUCUAUUGCCUUUCAUACUCUGUAUAUUAUUUUGUACUGAGUCCCCAUUGCCUGGGGGCGCUGCAUUCAUGCAUCAAGUCCCGACAGACGAUCGAGUAGACCUCCUCAGCAGCAAGAUUGACUUCUAUCCAGUUGGCUAACCCCUUUCUUCCGGAGCUGCCAGAGUUAGGAAGUUUGUUAGCUUUUGUUGUAUAUAUACUUUAUGGGUAGGCUGGGGACCCUGUCCCGCCAAUCUUUAUUACUCUUUGAGGCUUGCAGACUAGUGCGUGGGCUGUAUAGCUACGUUAUGGCCAUGAUGGCCUAGUUUGUUGGUUUGCUGAAGCUUGUGAGUUGUUUGAUGUAUUGUUUUGAUAUAUACCUGCUUUCAGUUUUGGGAUAGAUAUUAUGGUGGCCUCGACGGUCCAAUCAGGACUUCUGUGCUAGUUAGAUAUUUAUUUAUAUGAACUCUUGCGAGAAGCUAUUUCAUUUAUAGAUCUGUUGAUUGGGGCCUUACCAGCCGAGGGCUUACUUUUAAGCCGAGAUAUACUUGUUUGUUUUCUUGAUUGCGUGUGGCUACCAUGCACUAGUAGCAAAUGGUUCAGCAGGGUCGGCUCCGGCCUGAGUUUUGGCAUUAGGAGCCAGUUGCUCCCCUUGAGUUUGGGGCAUGACACCACCGAUGGGUUAAGCCUUUAGGUUAUAAAACCCUAAUUCAAAAGCGUGUAGAAUUCUUUUACUUCAAAUAAAGCUUCACAUUUUUAGGGGUAAACUUGAGCACAAAAAUGUGUACAAUUUUUUGCUUUCAAGAAUCUUCAUUUUCUUUCUAAGUUCAUUAAUCGAUUAGGCAUUGCGGAACACAUAAUUAAUUAGCUAGGCUCCCAAUUGUGACAUUAAUUUGGAAUAUGAAUAAACAAGUAAAAUUAUUCGCGCCUCAUGCAGCAAUUUAAUAUCAUGGAAUUUAUAAAAUAAUAUUUCAAAUAUAUCAAACAUUAAAACAAAAGCACUAUAUUACAUACAAGAUUACCUAGUAACGAACAUUAAUAAUGUAAAGGAAAAUGAUAAUUAUAACAUCUUAUCAUUUAUCCUUCAAUCAAUCAUCUUUAAUUUGAUUUUAUAAUUUAUCCUUUUGCUUUCGGGAAGUGUUACUAUUUGAUAUUUUUGGGGAAUCUGUAACGACCCGAACCGUCGUUAAUUAGGAAAGGAAAAAUAUCGGAAACACUGGGUCUCUCCUCCCGCCAGAGGGCAUGUGCCUCUAGGGCGGCAGCGCUCUAGCGGGAUAAGUGGCCGCCAAAUCGGGAUAGGCAAAACAAAAUGUAAAUAACGCAAAGUCCAAUUUUCUACAUUUUCCAAAUACACUAAAAAGAGGCGAGAUUCACCCCAGGAACCCUCAAAAGGAUGUUCUAGGCUUGGGAAGGAAGGAGAAAGAGAUUUCUACCAUAAGAGUGUCGAUAGAUUGCGGAUUUCUGGUCAAAUCCAACGUCCCAUCGUCUGGAAAACCAAAUUUCGAGCUACAAUCCCUUUGCGCAUACUUGGCGCACAGGUAGGCUAGGUUUAUUAAUUGAGUAGUUUCAAAUCCGUUAUUCAUUGCGUAGUAUAUUGGAAAUUGACGGUAGAAUUCAUGCGUAGGCUUUCGUGCACCGAAACGGGAUGAUUAUACUUGUAUCCUAGGUGUUACAUCAGACGUAUACCGUAAGAGGAAGCCUUAAUCGAUGAACUAGGUCUAGGUGAUGGUUUGAUUUCAUGUUUGGGUGAUGUAUGCUAGUAUUUGCUUAAUUGUAAUGAAUGUAUGUAUGUGAAUGUUGCACUAUCGAUCAAAUCUAUUGUAAAUAACUUUGAACGAAUGAUUGUAUGUCAUGAAUCGACACUUGAUUAUAUGAUUAUGAGAAUAUACAUUGUGAUUGUGAUUGUGGCUUGUUGAAUGGAUCGGAUAUCACAUACCGACAUACAUAUUGGAUCAGGUGUCACAUUUCGACAUACUAACUUGGAUCGGGUGCCACAUUCCGGUUCAUAUAUGGGAUUGGGUGUCACGUCUGACACACUAAUUGGGAUCGGGUACCACGUUUCGGUACACGUUUGGGUAUGAGUUCCAUGAGAGGACCAUUGACUGGUCAUAACUACUUGUUAAAGAGAAUGUGGAAUUGUACAUUGCUACUGAAAGGAUAACUGGUUUGUGCAUUAUAUAUAGAUAUAUGUGUGGGUUGAGGUGUAGUAAGUUAAUUGGGUAUAUCUGUGGUGUAAUGAAUUGUGAAUGGUUAGGGUCAAGUGUACUAGUAUGAUUUAAUUAUCCAGAAAUGGUAAGGGAAGAAAAAUAUAAAUGUGGAGAAAUGAACAGUCUUAUUGCAUGCUUUGCUGGUUGAUUUCUUAUAUUAUACGGUGGAUAUUUGGGUUGACCGAUGAUGCAUACCAGUACGUGUGGUUUUUGUACUGAUACUACUCUUGCUAUGCCUUUUGGGCAUAGUCUGGAUGCAGGUUCGGUGAUGUCUCAUAGGUGAAGACGAUGAUAAACUCCAACAACUUCCAUGUUUCCUCCCACGUGGAUGAAGUUGUGUCUUUGUUACUGCGUUCGUGUCUCGUAAUCUUAGAAGCUCUUGUACCUGUUUAGACUAGGUCUCUGGGUGUUAAUUACUUUACAAGUCUUAACUCAAAUUGUUUCAAAACUCUUAUUUGUGAAAUCUCCAUGAACUUGUUUUUAUCUUAGUUAUCUUAAUCUUCCGCAUGUUUUCCACGUUUUGGGAAUCAAGGGUUCUCCUACUUAGGUGUUAGAGUAGGUGCCCGCACGGCUCGGUGGAUUGAGUCGUGACAAUUGGUAUCAGAGCCCAGGUUACCAGUUUCCCAGUAUAAGAGCAAAAUAUGGUCUAGACUCCUGCGGAUUGGUGUGUUGACGUCCACAUCUAAUCUUCAUGAAGCUAUGAAGCAUUCUAGAAGUCAUUUAGUUCCUUCUCUCCUUUCGUGUGAGUUGUCACCUGUGGUAUGAGUUGAGUCCAAUUGGUAUCUCCCAAUUCCAAUUGAUAUCUUAACAAAGUGAACCAGACGCCAUAGUCGCGGCUGAAAGGGCACAAGCAAGUUAAAUUAGAACCAAGAAGGUUCCAAUUGGUAUCUGGCCCUAGAGAAUGUAUAAGUGCAUGGAUGAUCAGUAAUGGUCAUCUAUGGAGCGAAAUAAUUAAUAAUUUGGACUUGUCUGUGAGUUGUAACUUGAAAUUGUGAAUGCGUGCUUCUUAUGGUUUGCAUUAACUGUUGGUGCGAAUAAUGUGCUUUUCUUGGAUACUAUGAUAUGAUUAUGUGCACAAUAAGUGCUUGUCUGAACUUUGAUAUAUGCAACAUGCUAGACUAAAUAUUCGAAACUGUGUGAGUGGUGACUGCUUGAAUUUUGUGAACUUUUUGUUGGAAAGAAAAGUCAUGACUAAGUUCGAUGCAAGGGUCUAGAUAAUCUACGAUGUGAUCCGUAAAUGAAAUCUGGACAUGUCUUGCGAUUAACUAUAAACCAUGUGAGUGUAUGGGCAUAUCCUAGGGAUGUGCGUGGUUGUGGUAUUGAAUUAAUGUAUAGGGAUUUUGCAGUGUGUACCAUGAGGAUUGACUCGAGGUAGACAAUGACUAUCCUAGAUAAGAGGAGUUUCAUAAAAAUUGCUUAGUUAUAACCUGAGAGUUAAUGGGAAAUUAUAGAAACGGGAAGAACCCCAGGAAAUUGUUGGCAUGGGUACUGUUUUCGUCUGAGCCGCUGGGGCGGGAUUAUUCCCACCAGAGCGAGGCUGCCAGAGCGAAAAUUCUCCCGCCAGAGCGGAAUAGGGCGAGGCAGAAUCUCAGCCCUGUCUCCUCUGUUUUCCUAAGUCACCCGAAUAGACCCGAAUCAUGUAUGGGUCAAUCCCUACAAAUUCAGCCAGUACUCAGCAAUAGAACAUUAAGUUAUAAUCUUUAGCAAUAAAAUAAUAGCUAUGAAAACCAGCAUCCAUGUGCUUACAAAAAGUAAGGAAAGCGAAAGGAUAAAAUAAAGUAUUGUUCAAAUACAGGCCCAAAAGGGGCGAAAAACCAAAUCAGGAUCCCUGGGACUGAGAGGUAUCGUCAUCAGAGUCGAGGUCCUCCGGGGGUACUAGGCCAGUCAUGGCCUUGUCCAUAAAGGUAAAAUGCUGGAAGUCUCCUCUCUCGACUCGGGGAAUCUCCUUUUCGAGGGCAACACAAGAGAAAACGAUCUUCAAAGUCUUCCAUAUCCGGACCAUCAGAUGAUCCUUCUCCAAAACCUUUCUCCUCUCCUAGCGCAAUUUGCGGUGGAGCAUCUCGACCUCAAUGGCAAUACUUGGUGGAACCGGAGUGGUGCUAGCAAAGGAUCGUCCUAAUCUCCUCCAGACAGCUGCCAAGUCCUCCUCCACCUGUGCACCUGAGAUUGGGGGCUGGGACCAGGUGGGAAGAGUGUCGUCGCCUGCACCGUCUUCCGAGGGUGAAGGGGGGAUCCAUAGGAAGUACCUCGUCUGUGUCCAAGAGUGGCAUUCUGAAUUCUUGCACAUUGCAGUCACCAUCCCCGGUAAAAAAAAUGCCUUCUUGUUGCCCCGAUAGAACACCUUCCACUUAGAAAUGAUAUGCGAGCCCACGUUCAUCUCAAUGCUCUGUUGGCGCACGCCACCACCAAAGCCCAAUGAAAAAUCACGUCGGUACGGCUGCCCGAUGGGUGAAUCCUCCUAGUAACCAAGUGCAACCACUAUUUGACAUCCGGUGACCAGUUAGCACUGGUGAUGCCCUCCGUAGUGGCCCAAUAGACCCGGUCCCUAUGCGCAGGCUCGAUAAGUGUAUCCUUGAGCCAGCUCAGAUCCAUCUCCCUCAGAUUGGCCUCGUACUCAUUAUUAGGGACCUCUGGUACCUCGAGCAUAUCAUUUAUGUAGGAAGCAUUUAGGGGGAUGUCAACUCCCUGGAUGCAGAUGGUAGGGUGAGGGUCAUCCCAGCGAACAGUAGGGAGGAUAGCAUAGAACUCUCUCACCCAGGUGGAAAGCGCAUUGGGGGAGCCUCUGUCAGUAGGGAAAAGCCAAACUCCAUAAGACGGGUAUAAAAGGUGGGCGACUUCCCAUCUAAACCCUGCAAGAUAAAACCUCUCUCGCAGGAAAACUUAUUAUUUCGAUAAUCAUGAUGCCUUUUAUCGACUGGCAACAUCGUGAAACCGGACGAAUGGUAGGUUUUCCUUGUUAACACCAACCAUUUAGAGAAGCCUGCAAAAGUUUGGAAGAUUUAUGUUAGAACGCUACAGUAUUGGACAUUAUUGAGUUAAAAAUGAAGAUAAAAAGUUCUGAUUUAAGUAGCAAGGGGCCACUGCCCCACUUUGUCCCGCCACAGCGGCCCAAGUCCUGCCACAGCGGGAUGAUGGAGGCCGCUACAGUGGGAUAAAGGCCCCAAAAGCGGCAUUUAUCUGGGACGAACUCCAGGCGCGAUCAUGGUGCCUUUUCAUCCCAAAACCUUGUUUUCACAAAAUUUCAGCAGAUUAGAGUCUAUAAAGUACCCUAGUACCUAAUUAUGUUGUUAUUUUGACGAAAUAACCCCUAAAUGGUGCUCGAAUCUGAGUUUUACAAUAAAAAACCAUUCAACUUCCCCCCACCCAUUUUGGAACCGUUUUGAUCGUAUUUUUGCAAAAUCCUUACGCCUAGAACGUUAUGGAGACGUUGGGGACGUAAGGGAAGUGUCCAUGCUACGUUGUCCUAACAAAUCAGUCAACAUAUGUUCAUUUUCAAAAACUACCCCAAAAACCUAUUCUACCCAAUCAGCUAGAAUCAUGCAAUCGUUAUUAAGUAAGUAAUGAAGUAUAUAACGUAAGGAACAAGAGGUUUACCAUAAAUUUGACGUUCGGAGUGAACCGAUCGAGAGAGUUUUUGAAGUUUUGGGAGAGUUUAUGAAGGAAUGGGGGAAAAUUUUCUUUUCCCCCCUAUGUACUAUUUUCCGAUCUCCCGCUACAGUGGGAGGCCAUCGCCAUAGCGGCCCCGUUGCAGUGAAAGAACUGUCGCCCUAGUGGGGUUAGGCUGUGUAAAAAUUAGACGCAAUUAUUUUCCGUGCAUUGCGUCAUUUCCCUAACCGGUCGUUUGAGUAUAGAACCUUCCCUGUUUCAAAUUUGAAAAGUCACCAUCCUUCAUGGCUUCGCAAUUGACCGAUUCGUUAGUUAGAAGUACUCCGAAAAAGAGCGCAUGUUUAUCCCUCUGCUAGUCAUUCGGGGACGAACGAGGGGUAAAUUAGUAUCUAUUGUAACGACCUGAACCAUCGUUAAUUAGGAAAGGGAAAAUGUCAGAAACAUUGGGUGUUUCCUCCCGCCAGAGCAGGCUUGACGCCGCUAGGGCGACGACGCUCUAGCGGGAUAAGUGGCCACCAAAGUAGGAUAGGAGAGAUAUAAUGUAAAUAACGCGAAGUUUGAGUUUCUCUUUUUUCCAAAUACACUAAAAAGAAGCGAGACUCACCUCAGAAACCCUCAAAAGGCUGCUCAAGACUUGGGAAGGAAGACAAAAAGAGAUUUCUAGCGUAAAAGCGUCGAUAGAUUGUGGAUUUCGGUCAAAUCCACCGUCCCGUCAUCUGGAAAACCAGAUUUUGAGCUACAAUCCCUCUGCAAAUGCUUGGCGCCCAGAUAGGUUAGGUUUAUUAAUUGAGUAAUUUCAAAUCUGUUAUUCACUGUGUAAUAUAUUGGAAUUUGACGGUAGAAUUCAUGCGUAGGCUUUCGUGCACCGAAACGAUAUGAUUAUACUUGUAUCCUAAGUGUUACAUCAGACGUAUACCAUAGGAGGAAGCCUUAGUCGAUCAACUAAGGCUAGGUGAUGGUUUGAUUUCAUGUUUGUGUGAUGUAAGUUAGUAUUUGCUUCAUUGUAAUGCAUGUAUGCAUGCGAAUGUUGCACUAUCGAUCACACCUAAUGUAAAUGAGUAUAAACGAAUGAUUGUAUUCCAUGAAUAAAUACUUUAUUGUAUGAUUAUGAGAAAUGUAUAUUAUGAUUGUGAUUGUGGCUUGUUGAAUGGAUCAAAUAUCACGUACCGACAUAUAUAUUGAAUCGAGUGUCACAUUCCGAAACACUAACUUGGAUCGGGUGCCACGUUCCAGCGCAUAUAUAAGAUCGGGUGUCAUGUUCGACACACUAUUUGGGAUCGAAUACCACGUUCAGGUACAUUACAGUUUGGGUAUGGGUUCCAUUAGAGGACCAUUGACUUGUCAUAACUACUUGUUAAAGAGAAUGUGGAAUUGUACAUUGCUCCUGAAAGGAUAACUGGUUUGUUCAAUAUAUAUAGAUAUAUGUGUGGGUUGAGGUGUUGUAAGUUAAUUGGGUAAAUCAGUGGUGUAAUGAAUUGUGAAUGGUUAGGCCCAAAUCGGGAUGUGAUAGGAUAAGUGGUAAUAAUUUUAUUCGGGAUCUCCUUCGAUAGGCAGAAUGGUUAACUUAUGAUUAAGAACGGAGCGAGUAAGGGGUUAGAGUAAAGUGUACUAGUAUGAUUUAAUUAUCCGGAAAUGGUAAGGGCAAAAAAAUAUAAAUGUGGAGGAAUGAAUAGUCUUAUUGCAUGCUUUGUUGGUCGAUUUCUUAUAUUAUGCGGUGGGUAUUCGGGUUGACUGAUGUUUCCUACCAGUACAUGUGAUUUUUGUACUUAUACUACUCUUGCUAUGCCUUUUGGGCAUAGUCUGGAUCCAAGUUCGGUGAUGUCUCAUACGUGAAGAUGAUGAUAAUCUCUAACAGCUUCCAUGUUUCCUCCUACGUGGUGAAAGUUGUCUUUGUUACUGCGUUCGUAUCUUGUAAUCUUCGAAACUCGUGUAUCUGUUUAGACUAGAUCCCUGGGGUGUUAAUUACUUUACAAGUUUCAACUCGAAUUAUUUUAAUACUCUUAUUUUAUGAAAUCUCCAUGAACUUGUUUUUAUCUUAGUUUUCUUAAUCUUCCACAUGUUUUCCACGGUUUGGGAAUCGAGGGUUCUCCUACUUAGGUGUUAGAAUAGGUGCCCGCACGGACUGGUGGGUUGGGUCGUGACAAAAUCAAAUAAACAGCAACCUAAAAUAUUAAAUUUUCUAAUAAAUUAAUAAUUACCGGAGAAGGGAUAAAUAAAUUUUAAAAGGUUGAAAAAAGUUAACAAAUAUUCCAAUUCUAACGUUUAGAAAGUUCAGCUCUACCUUUUGCUUUACAAAUAUCAUUUUAAAGUUCCUCAUUUGAAUGUAUCGUAAGUAAUUAUUAAAAUGAAAAUUAAAGGGAGAAUGUAUUAUAUUGGACAACAAUUCAACUUAUUAUAUAUACUUGAAAGAGAAAAAUAUUACACAAAAAUAUUCAGUUUGUUUGGGUGAUUAAAAAAAUCAACAUACCAGAGUGAUGAGUUCAAUUUGAAACUACACUUCUAUUCCAAUCGCAGCGUCGAGAAACACAUCUAUUACUUUAAAAGAAAGUAUUUACAACUUGCAGUAAACUUGAGAAUUUGUCCCUACUUCAUAUAGAAUAUGAGAAAUUAAUUUAUUGUGUAGUUAUCUAUGUCUUUGGGAUUAAAACAGGCUCAAGUCUAGUCAUAUUCCUCUAUAGAUCAUCCGGCACAUCCUUGAACACAUGUCAAAAGCUUAUUAAUUCUUGUCUUCUUUUCCUGAUUCACUUCGCACAUCUAGGUGCGAUAACGUUUUUAAGGUCUUUAUGUCCUUACAAUGGCAUACCAAGUUUGAAUUUUGUCUUCAAGAGAUGGUAGUAUAGAUCUUUAAGGAUUUUUUUAUUGUACCUUCAACAAUUCAGUAGAGAAAACUUGUGUGAAUAUUCAAUAAACAUGUGUUAUUUAAUAUGUACUAACAAAUACAUAUAACAAUAACUGCACAGAAACAUAAACAACAAAGUUUAAAACAUGUACUCAAAAAUAGUAAUUAAUACCAUAAGCAUAAAUUAAUGACUAUAAAAAAACAUACCACGAUCUGUAACAAUACAAUAAAAUAGAAAGGAAAAAAUCGAGCACACUGAAUGCAUAGUGUCCCCUUAAGGAAAUUAUUUUCUACUAGUACCCGAGGUUUAAAUAAAUAGAUCCUCUUAGGAUAGAAUAAUUCUAUUCACCAGUGUAUUGAUACAAAAACAACGGUGUUAGUGAGCCACUCUACAGGAGCAAAGUACACAAAUAUUUAAUUGGGCAGAAAAAGAAGAAGUUCAUAAUUUUCGUUGUUUUAAAAUGAGAGGAAAUCCCUAUAUUUAUAGACAACAAAGGGUAGUGUGAAAAAUGCUUAUUGUACCUUAUCGGAAAUGUCACAACUCUUUGAAAAAGUUACAACCCUUCGGAAAGGUCACAACCUUUCAUAAAAGUCACAAUUUUUCAUAAAAGUCACAACUCUUCCCAAAAGUCACAACUUUUGAUAAAAGUCACAACUCUUCAUAAAAGACACAACUUUUCAUAAAAGUCACAACUUUUCAUGAAAUGGAAUCCUAGUUUGUGGUGAAUGAUUGUGACUUUUUCAAAGGGUUGUUAUAACACCUCAAAAAUUUUUAAGUUAAGACUCGAAUCAUUCUUCAUUUACAUAUAGGGUCAUAUAGGGUGAUUCUUCAAUUGCCCAUAUGUGUAAAGGUAAAUUCAUUAGUGUGGGAAUGAUUUUGGAUAUUAAUUAAGGUCACUAGAAACUCCUAGCACAAAGUAGAGUUGAAAGUUUCCUUAUCGAUAAGUUUUGAUGUAAGAUUCUACUCGGGUCAACUUCAAACGAUCAUAUCUCUUAGAAUAUAAGGAGUUACGUGGCCCAUAACCUAUUAAAUUAAAGGUAUUUUAAUCUUCUUUCCAACUCCACCAAUUUCGUGUCAAUCCAAUUUCUGAGUAAAACGUUAUGAUCAUUUUAGUAACUGAUACAGUGCAGUGACAAAUUAGCCGACGGAAAAACAUUAAAAAUGAUCUUUCUGUCUUUUGACCUCCAAGAAAAUCCUAAGAGAAUUUCUUGAAUAAUAUAAGGCUCAAACCAAUUAGAUUUUUCAUCUUUUAAUCCAUCAUUCUCUUCUCUCUCAAACCCUUAACCCUUGGGCAAAACCCUAAGGAAAAAUCAAAGUAGAAGACUCCAUUCAAGAUUCUUUCAAUCUUUUUCAAGAUUCUUCUUCAAGGUAAGUCUCCAAAAAUUACAUUCAUUCCUACUCAAAUUCCUCCAUACAAUUAUGGAUCACUAAUGAAAAUCAUAAUUCUUGGUCAUAGAUAUUUCAAGAAACUAAUUAAAGAAUCUCAAGAAAGGUUUUCUUGAUCGUUUACCUUCAAGCUAGGGUUUCAAGGCUUCUAAUCAAGUUUUCUUUCAAGAUUCUUCAAGAACCUUGUUCUUCCAGGAAUGUAAGGCUAUCAUAGUGUUGAACUAGUUCAUCCUCACGCCCUAUAUCUACUUUCAAUUUAGUAAAAGAGUAAUCUAGGAUUCUAUCCCUAGAUUUGAGUAUUCUUGAGAUAAGUUGAUUUGAGUUCUUGAGUUCCUGUUUCUUUUUGAAAUUAUAUUCCUAAUUAUUUAAUUUUUAUAUGUUAUGCAUUAAUAUUCUUUAGUUGAUUCAUUCAUGUCUAUAUUUCAGCAUGAACCCUAUGAAUUAAAUAUUCUUGAGAUGAGUAGUAUCGUUGAGUUCUAAGUUUUUGAGUUCUAAAUUCUUGAGUUCUGAGUAUUGAAUUUUCUAUAUUGUUAUUGAGAUCCUUGAGUUGAUUCGUUCAUGUCUAUAUUUCAGCAUGAACCCUAUUUCAAGUAUAAAAUUUGAGAAUCUUUUAAAACAAUCAUUUUUGUCUUAAACUGAUUUUCUAAGAAAGCAAAGAUGAGUUUUGAGAAUGCGUUUUAAAACAUGAUUAGUAUGACAAUCGAGUAUGUCAUCAAUGUUUAAGCAGUAUGGUAUCUAGAUAUGCCAUCAAUGUUUAUGUAGUAUGACUUUCCAAGUCAUCAAUGAUCAAAUCACAAUAUGAUUUUUGAUAUAAUUUUGAGAAAGAGUUUUUAAAUAUGAAUUGAGUAAGAGUAUAAGGGAACUAAGUAUUCCCAAAGAUAUCCGUUUUUACAUUGAGAAAAGAGAAACUUUGAUUUCUUACAGAGUUAAUGAGUUCAGAGAUAUUUUAGGGCAUUUACCUCUUUUAAGAGGUUAUUUUGAGUAAUUACCUCAAAAGAGAAAAAUAAUAUGUUUUAUACAUUUGAGCAUGAGUAUAUAUAUUAUUGGGAUUAGUAUUGAGCACCGAUAUGAGGAUGAGUUCAGACAACUAACAUUCCUCAUAAACUAUGUAUGCAAACAUGGGUACAUGAUCAUACUUUUUAGAUUAAUCCUAAGUGCCUUCGGGCAGAUCUUAGUGGAUCCACUUAGUUGAGGUGUUCUUUUCCCCAGCAAGGUAUAAGACAAUUCUGGUAGCGUGGGCGAGACGAUGUAUCAUCACGUAGCUCAUAGUGAUGGUUGUUUGUUAGAGAAUUUCCCAACUAGAGUUAAAAGUGUAUUUUAUUAUAUCACUUUAAUAUGUUGAGUUCAGAGAUGAGUAAGUAUUUUUGUAAAGUUUUAAUGAUUUCACUUCUUUAUUUCUUUACAUUCAGUUGAGUAUAUAUCUAUAUCUACUCCAGUCCUUUCAUUCAGUUAUUUGUUAUUAAACUAUAUUACAUACUCGUACACUCAAUGUACUGAUGUCAUUCGACCUACAACUUUUAAUGAUGCAGAUACAUGUUCUUAGGAUCCUCAGUAAGAGUCUGUUGAGAUCACUUCAUCCGCUCAUUUGCUUAUGAGUGAGACCUCCUUGCUUUCGGAGGACUCUAGUUUUAUGAGUCGUUAGUAGUAGUUCUUUUGAGGAGUCAUGAGUCUUAUCCCGACACUCAUCUUUUUAUAGUAGAGGCUUCAUAGAUAAACAGUUUUGGAGAGUCUUUCAGAUUCAACUAUUUUAUUUAAAAUUUAUGUUUCAUACUGAGUAUAUUUAGUGAAGUUUUGAGAUCCAGUAAACUAUUUUAAACGUUUCUUUCAAUUUGAUACUUAUGUAUGCUUGAGUUAGUCUUCCGCUUGUAGUCAGCCAUAAUGAGGGUUCGCUUGAGGGUCAACAAUGGUUCUCGAUUACCGUCCACGUCCAGUGUGUACGCUCAGGUCGUGACAGUUGUGACUUUUUGAAAGAGUUGUAACUUUUCUGAAGGGUUAUUACUUUUCCGAAGGGUUGUUACUUUUCAAAGAGUUGUGACUUUUCCGAAGGAUUGUGAGUUUUUCAAAGAGUUGUGACUUUUCUGAAGGUUGUGACUUUUUUUAUAAGGCAUAAUAAGCACUUGUUCAUAUUGCCCUUUUUUGGCUAUCACAUUUUUAAACCACAAAUUCUCUAAGUUUUCUAUUCUUCUUAACACCCAAUUUAGUACAUAUUCAAUAUUUUCAUACUAUAUUUUUUUAAGUAACUUUAUGGACCAUUAGUUCGAUUUAUUGAUCAUCUCAAAGAUGUUGGAUAACUAAUAAUACCAAAAGUCUUAGCCAAAUCCUAUAAAAUAUUACAUACUAUAUUUAUUUAGAUUACUCCCUCUGUUUAAAAAAGAAUGACAUAAUUUGACGUGACACAAAAUUUUAGAAAAUAAAGAAGAUUUUUGAAUCUUGUGGUCCUAAAUUAAAGUGAUGUCAAAUGUAUUAAAUUAUCCUUUAAUCUUGUGGCCUUAAACAUGCCACAUGAAAAGCUGAAAUUAAAAUGUUACCAAAAAAGGAAAGAGAACAUUCUUUUUGAAACAAACUAAAAAGGAAAGGGAGUCAUUCUUUUUGAAACACAUGGAGUAUAAAAUACAAUUAAAGCAGAUAUCUUUUCACAUUGAAUGAUUGUGACUUUUCCAAAUGGUUGUGAGUUUUCCAUUUCCGCAAAUAUGAUUAAUACAACAACAUUUCAACUCCCAAUAAAAUAUAGUAAUAGGUACAAGUACCUUAUCAAGUUGCGACAUAAUUUAUUCUCUCUUUGUUAUCUCUUCCUCAAUUCUGAUUCCAUCAAGAAUGGUUAAAAAGUUUCCACAACAAUAAACACAAAAGUAAUUCAAUACAAAUUCAUAAAAGAUAAAAUUUUAUAGAUUAUUGAAUAAAACACAAAGUUAAGUUGUCGGACAAAGUGAUGACAUGAGGAAAAAGCCCAUAGAAAGAAGUAGGUUCGAACCAAAAAAUUGUCAUAGUUGUGAUCAAUUGUUUUAGAAUUGAGCUGUUGAAAUAGUUUUUCUUUUUACAUGUUGAAUGGAGGGAAAACAUACAAGUAAAUUAUAGUAUUGUUUCAUUAAUAUUUUUCGUGAAGAUCCAAAGUAAACUUCUAAGGAAUUGACGAAGUUUCACAGAAAUUAGGGAUGAAAUUUGUCACAAAAAAAAUACAACAACUAGUAUAGUUUGCCUAGUUUUUAUAGGUAGUUCCCGAAGAGACACAAACAAAGGGAUACAACAGUCUGAAGGGACACAAGAAUUGGAAAAAAAGGUAAAAAUAAAAUAGGGAUAAAAAACCUAGAAGUACAAAAAAAACAUAAAUUUGGUGGAGCCUUAAUUUGUAGGAUGGUGGUCACUGUUGUGAAGAGUUACAUUGUAUAGGGAGGGAAACACCCGAAUGUGGCGUUUCUUAGAGGAGGGAAAUACUAAUUUUGAAAAUAAAUAAAUUAAAAGGGAAUCCUGAUUUGUGGUAACGCCACGUAAUAUAUAUAUAUGUGUGUGUGUGUGAGAGAGAGAGAUUAAUUCUGUCAUAAUAAAUUAUAUAUUACUCCACUAAAAAUAUUUAUAAGUGUACUCCUCAAUUUAAUUUUGAAAUCUUUCAUUAAAUCUUAUUUAACUCCUCAAGUUGAAAUUACAUAUAUUAAAUAAUUAAAUUUAAAUUUUGACUUUUAUGUUUUAUACUUACGCUUAACUUAUUGCAUGUAAUGGAUACCAAAUCCACAUAUAUGAUUUUCACAUGAGAACUUGUAAAGAAUCAUAAAAGAGUAUCAUCAAUCUCUAAGGUCGAUAUAUAAAUUUUAUCAACUAAUUAAUUAUUAUUUUUUAGAAAAUAUUAUUUAUUAUCAUACCAUUUAUCAGGCAUAUACUAACUCACGGCAAAAUUGUACCUUUUGAUAAAUCAAAAUAAUAAGCAAAUCACAUUGAUCAUAGCAAUUAUAACAAGAUUAAAAGUAUACAUACAUUUAAUGAUUUAGAGAAAUUGUUGCACAUAUUCCAUACAAAAAUUUACUUUGAUAAUGAAAUUCUCCCCCAGUCCCUUCAUAAAUUCGUUUUUUGCUUGAUGUGAGCUCAAUUUUGUUGGGUUAUGAAGGGUGAUUAGGGCAUCAUGCGGAAACUUACAAUUGCAAAUCAUAUGACGAUAAAUCAAAUGACAAAUAAAAGUAUACUAAAAACAUAUUAUUAAUAUAGUUUGGUCAAAUGACCUACAUAUUAUAAAACUAAUAUAAUAUUGAAAAAAAAAAAACAUAAAUAUGUUUAUGAGAAAAUCUCCCCAUAAACAAGACUUUCUAAAUGACUACAUUGUGGAUUCUAUUGUUGUGUUUUUUGAUAUGAGAAGAGGGGUCUUCAAUUUAUAGAUCUCCUAACUUUUCCUGUAAGGAAAGAAUAAACCAAAUAUGGAGAAAAAAAUAUUUUCCUUUCAUGAAAAGUAAAAAAACUUAUGGUAAUGUUUUGUCUUUUCUUUUAGGAAAAAAUAAACUUCAAAUACGGUAAGAAAAUUAGGACAAAACCCUAACAAAUCUCCCCUUUUGGCUGGAUUUUCUUGACAAAAACUUGAUCCACCUUCUUCAAUUGUAUGAUAAUCUUUGUUCUUCACAUAGUCUUCAUCACUGCUGCUUGCCAUGGUUAAAAAUAAAGUUUAAAAUAUAUGGGUUAAAAAUAUUUUGUUUUAUUUUUAAAAUUGCAGCAACAGAAAUGUUGAAAAUAUGGUUUAAAACUUCUUCUCCACAUGUAGCUAGAUAAAAAUCUUCAUUAUCUUCAAAUUGAUUUGAAACCAUCUUGAACCUAUCUUCAACCUCAUUGAACCAUAGGACCAUCGGAUCAUGAAUCGUUAGAUCAUGUGUUUUGAUACCACUUGUUGGGUUAUGAAAGGUGAUUAGGACAUCAUGCGGAAACUUACAAUUGCAAAUCAUAUGACGAUAAAUCAGAUGACAAAUAAAAGUAUACUAAAAACAUAUUAUUAAUAUAGUUUGGUCAAAUGACCUACAUAUUAUAAAACUAAUAUAAUAUUGAGAAAAAAAACAUAAAUGUGUUUAUGAGAAAAUCUCCCCAUAAACAAGGCUUUCUAAACGACUAAAUUGUGGAUUCUAUUGUUGUGUUUUUUGAUAUGAGAAGAGGGGUUUUCAAUUUAUAGAUCUCCUAACUUUUCCUAUAAGGAAAGAAUAAACCAAAUAUGGAGAAAAAAAUAUUUUUCUUUCAUGAAAAGUAAAAACACUUAUGGUAAUGUUUUGUCUUUUCUUUUAGGAAAAAAUAAACUUCAAAUACGGUAAGAAAAUCAGGAAAAAACCCUAACAAAUUUGCCAAAGACCAGGAAGCGUUUUAUUAUCUUAAUCAUUUUUACACUAUUCGUUUAAUACAUUCCAAAUUUAGUAGCAAAAGAAAUUUGAAAAAAGGGGAAAAGUAUGAUAUACUUUUCAACUUUGUCAUUUAGAGCUGAUAUACCUCUCAUUAUGAAAGUGACUCAUAUAUACCAUAUUGUUAUACAAAUUACUCACAUAUACCCUUUUUACUCUAACGGAAGUGAAUAAAAUAGUUUUAAUUUAAUUUUUUAACCAUUUUUUGGAAAAAAUAUAAUCCAUAUGAGAUAUAUUUGAUCCUCCUCACACAUUAUUUCUUGACUUUUUUGUUUCAACGAUUAAUUUAAAUUUAUUAUUUUGAUGGUGAAAUUUUAAAGUUCCCUAUUUUUCUUGUAAAAUUCAUUAUAGAUUCCAUUGUUUUUAUUUUGUUUUUACAAAUAGAAAAACUAAAUUACAAAAUAACCACAAAAAAUUAGUUAUAUUUUAUUUAUUUAUUUACACUAAAGAAUGAAACUUGAAUAAUGAUAAUCAAAGAAGUCAAAAAAUAAUUCUUGUAUGAAAAAGAUUAGAAUAUACCUUGAACUUUGCUAGAAGGAUCAUAUAUAUACCCCUACAUGAAUAUUUUUAAUUUAAAAUAAAAAAAAUAAAUUUAAAAUAAUUUUUUCACUUUCGUUAGAUGAAAGAUAUAUGUGAGACAUUUGUAUAAUGAUAAGGGUAUAUCACUUUUAUAACAAAAAGUAUAUCAACUUCACGUGGCAAAACUUAGGGGUAUAUCACACCCUUUUCCCUUCAAUAAAUCUACUCCCCUAAUCAUGAUUAAAAUAUAUUUUAGUUUUUCACCACAAUUAUCAAGAUGUUUUGUUAGUUUCAUCUUUAAACGUAAACAUAUAACUUUAUAAUUUAUAAAAGUUAGUAUAAGUAAAAGAUACACAUGUGAACAAAAUAUGUAUUUAAAAUAGAAUAAGUAAUGAUUUCAUAAAGAAUAAAAGAAGUAAAUAGGAUGAAUAAUAUGGUAAGAAAAAGUAAAAAGAAAAAAGAGUUAUAGAAGUAAGUAAUUAAAGUAGGGAGUACGGGGGUUUCCGUUAAAUAGAGAUUGGGUAACGUAUGCGCGUGUUUGAGAGUAAAGUCUCCCUUAUGACCCCACCUGUCAUCUGUCUAUCUCUGUAAGUUUAUGAAAUUUCGAAUUCAUUGUGGCUGCAAAUACCUUUUAAGUAUGUAUCUAGUCUUUCUUUUCUUUAAUUAUAAUUAAUACUAGGAUUAAGCAAAACCAUAAUAACUGUUUCAUUUUAAUCCCGAACUAGUUAGAUGCAUGAUUUACUAUUUCUGUUUCACUCUAUCAAUAUAAUGUUUGAAGAAUUGAUGUAGAAGUAGUGCGUGCUAAGGGACUCUACUAGUAUUAGACAAUUUUUUAGUAAAAAAGGAAUAUAAUUUUGUAGGUAGAGAAUUAAAGGAAUGUAAAGCAAAAGGUAUUUUGUGUUGCAGUAAAACACUUCACAUGGUCACCUUCUGCCAUCCCUUGUGCCCAUUUCUGUAUUCUUUAGCUUUUUCCCUUUUGCAUUAUUAAUUUAUCAUAUCAUAUAUGUCCCACUUUCCCUUUUUUCUUUGUAUCUUCCUUCUUUAUCAUUUGUUCAUUCUACUUGUUGGGACUAAUUGAGUGCUACUAGUUUCAUUCAAGUUGUUUGUUAAUGUGACAACAAUGGUGUCGUCUCAACACUCUCCGUUCAUAACCCGGUAAUCUCCUUUACUUCUACAAUGAAACGUUAUUUACUGAGAAUUAUGAUUUCCCCAUCAAGUUCCUUAUAUUCAUGAAUGAAUCUAGUGUUUUCACCUUCAUUUGAGCCAAAAAAAAAAUGUAUUUCCAAUUUUGACUGUUACGCUACUCAUUGUACCCUACAAAAGCCUCUAUUUUUCGUUUUGUUCCUUAUAUAAUUUUUUAGGAUAGGAUAUGGUUUUCUCUAUAAUAUAUAUGCUAUUUCACAUAAUUGUAGAAUGCCACAGCUUUACUGCUAACCUCUGAUUAUUAUUGGUUUAACCAAUUUAAAUAUGCUAAACCCCUUUCUUCUUUUUGGAGAAAUGUUACGCCGAACGAUUAAUAUUACUUGUUCUCACAUAAUCUUUUACUAUUAUGGAUUUGUCAUGUCUUACUCGUUAACGAUAUUGAUCAUCAGCACUAUAUUCUCUGAUGUUGCUGGGGAUAUUACAAUUGCUGUAAAUGGAGAGUCUUUCCUACUGCAUAAGGUACUUUUCUCUUUCUCUUUGUCUUAAUAGAAGGUUGAGGCUUGUGUUUACUGUUUAAACCUACUUCCUUUCUCAGCUCUAGGUUACUAACAACAUACUUUCAAAUUAUGAUGUAGAUGGAACUCGAAACACAUAGAAUGGUCAAACUUGGUUGAGAAUAUUCCUCAUGUCUAGUAGUGCCCUUCUGUACCUCGUUGUUGCCUUUGAGACCAACCUUAUCCUUCGUAGACGAGGGCACUACUACACAUCCUGUUCACCAAACUUUUUAUUUUUUAAGCACCCAGUGAUGAUGACAGUGGAGCGUGCUAUAUUAAGUAAACAUUAGCAAAUUAUAAAAAAAAUGGUACUAAUUUUAGGUGUGGCAUUGCAGCAAAUGUAUUCCAGAAAUCAAUUUUGAGAUUGUAACAUGUGAAUCUUGAUCUAUUCUGGAUAUUUCAUCGCACACUAUUUACUAAUUCACUUCAAUCCUUUAUCAAUAUUAUUAGUUAACUGUAUAUUUGAUUCUUGAAGUUGAUAAUUGUGUUAUGUCACUUGUGGUUUUGCUAUAGUUUCCUUUGGUGUCUCUGAGUGGAAAGAUCCGGAAGAUGGUGGCCGAUGCCAAAGACCCAAAUCUCUCAGAAUUGAAUUUAACUCAUGUUCCUGGGGGGCCUGAAACAUUUGAACUAGCUGCAAAGUUUUGUUAUGGCAUGAACUUUGAGAUCACAACUACGAAUGUAGCACGUUUGCAUUGUGUGGCAGAAUACUUGGAAAUGACAGAAGAUUAUCGUGAAGAGAACCUCAUUGCAAGAACAGAAACUUUCCUUGUUGAAGUUGUGUUUCCGAAUCUUGAAAAAACGGUGGAGGUUCUUUCUUCUUGUGAUGACCUGCUUCCUAUUGCAGAGGAGGUUGGUAUUUCAGAUAGAUGCAUUGAUGCCAUUGCCAGGAAUGCUUGUCAGGAGCAACUUGUUUCAGGUCUAUCUCGUUUAGAUUGUGAUAGUGGAUCUUUGGAACACAAGGAAUGGUGGGUCGAAGAUCUUUCUGUUCUAAGCAUUGAUUUUUAUGGCAGAGUUAUCAUGGCAAUGGGACAUGUUGGGUUACACAUAGACAGCAUAAUUGCAUCCUUGAUGCAUUAUGCACAGGUCUCUCUAAAGGGUAUUGGGAAACCGCAAAUUUGGAAUCCAGCGAGAGCAUAUCCAUGUAAAGGAGAAAAGGGGCAGAAAACAAUUGUAGAAACUCUUGUUAGUCUAUUGCCUCCAGAGAAGAGUUCAUCUGUUCCGCUGAAUUUUCUUUUUGGGAUGUUGAGGAUAGCUAUCAUGGUGGAUGCCGCCCUAGCCUGCAGGCUUGAAAUUGAGAGGAGGAUUGCCUUCAGGUUGGAAAUGGUCUUACUUGACGAUUUGCUUAUACCAUCUGUCCAAACGGGUGAUUCUUUGUUUGAUGUUGACACUGUCAAGCGCAUAUUGAUACAUUUCCUCCAAAGGAUUGACCAAGAAGAAAAUGGAGAUUGUGGAUAUGAAUCAGAAAAUAUUGAUUCUCCAAGCCAUGGUUCUCUAUUGAAAGUUGGACGGCUUAUAGACACGUAUCUAGCUGAAAUAGCUCCUGAUCCAUAUUUGAGCCUUGAGAGAUUCAUUGCUAUGAUAUCAGUUUUGCCUGAUUAUGCUCGUGUUAUUGAUGACGGACUUUACAGAGCUAUUGAUAUUUAUUUGAAGGUAAAACUUCAAAGUUAUAGUUAUAGACCUCAUCUGAUUAUAUGAAUACCUAAAAAUGAUAACAUGUUUUUUCUUUAGUCUGAAUAUUCUUCUACUUGAGUAGGCCCAUCCGAUGCUAAGUGAGCACGAUUGCAAAAAGCUAUGCAAAUUCAUAGAUUGUCAAAAGCUGUCUCAAGAAGCAUGCAAUCAUGCAGCACAGAAUGACAGGCUCCCAGUUCAAAUGACUGUCCAAGUUCUCUACUUUGAGCAGCUCCGACUAAAGAAUGCUCUAUGCGGAAGUUGUGGAGAUACACAAAAGAUGAGCAGCGGUGUUACAAGUGCAGCCAUGUCUCCUAGAGAUACUUAUGCAUCUUUAAGGAGAGAGAACCGAGAACUGAAGUUGGAGAUAUCAAGAAUGAGAGUGAGGCUAAGUGACCUGGAGAAAGAACAAGUGUUUAUGAAACAAGGGAUGAUAGACAAAACAGGACAGGGCAAAACAUUCUUAACUUCCCUUUCUAGAGGUAUAGGAAGGUUUGGUAUAUUUGGUGGUCCUUCUCACGGUAAACGUAGGAAAUCAGAAGGUAAAACUGCUAGGAGUAGGAGGUAUUCUGUUUCCUAAAACAAUUUGUAAAUUCAAGAGACGUCACCAGUGUCGUGUUGCACAUUAUUGAAUUUGUUUCUAAAGUAAAAAAAUAUGAUGUUUAUUCAAUGAUUCUCAGUUCUAACAAUUAAUAUUCUGAACAAGAUUGCACAUCUAUGUGAAAGAAUAUAACAGUAAAGAUGGAAAGAUGAGUGAAUAAAAUUCAUCCACCAUACAAGUGAAGUUAUUGAAAUUGUGUGAGAAUAAUCCUCAUGCAGCCAUCUUACUGAAAAGUUGUUUACGUAUCUGCAGAAAGAAACCAAAACAUGUGAAGUUGUAAUUCUGAUUGAUUUCCUCAUCACAAGUUUAUCACUUACAAUAUAUUACCUCAGGGAGUUUCUGCCUAAAAACGACAUCCAGUCGAGCAUCCAGUGUGUUCUCACAUACAAUCUUCCCAUCAUCAGAAGCCAGAACUACUCCUCCAGAGCUUUCAUUAUAUCAAAGUAAAAUCAACUCCAAAUACUUCACUAUCAACAUUUGAUCAUAUUUCAUAUGUUGGAAAUCAUAUUAACUUAAUUAUUAACUGUUUAAAACGGACUAAUAUAGCAUGAUUAUGGGGGGGGGGGGGGAUCCCGGCCAGAAACCUCNNNNNNNNNNNNNNNNNNNNNNNNNNNNNNNNNNNNNNNNNNNNNNNNNNNNNNNNNNNNNNNNNNNNNNNNNNNNNNNNNNNNNNNNNNNNNNNNNNNNNNNNNNNNNNNNNNNNNNNNNNNNNNNNNNNNNNNNNNNNNNNNNNNNNNNNNNNNNNNNNNNNNNNNNNNNNNNNNNNNNNNNNNNNNNNNNNNNNNNNNNNNNNNNNNNNNNNNNNNNNNNNNNNNNNNNNNNNNNNNNNNNNNNNNNNNNNNNNNNNNNNNNNNNNNNNNNNNNNNNNNNNNNNNNNNNNNNNNNNNNNNNNNNNNNNNNNNNNNNNNNNNNNNNNNNNNNNNNNNNNNNNNNNNNNNNNNNNNNNNNNNNNNNNNNNNNNNNNNNNNNNNNNNNNNNNNNNNNNNNNNNNNNNNNNGUUGGGGGGGGGGGGGAUCACUGCUAGUAACCUAUCAAUCCAUUAAACCCCCUUUGUUGUUUCAGAGUGAGGGAGUGGGCCAAUUUUUGACAGAUUAUAUCUUCUGUGGAUCAGUGGACACCCUUAAUUUCUUCUGUGAUAAAAAGCCCCAAGUAUUCAAUCCUUUUCACCCCAAAGAAGCACUUAUUUUGCUUGGAAAACAAUUGGUGUUCUUUCAUUUCUUGGAAAACAGACUUCAACUGACAUACAUGAUCUUCCAAGGUUCUUCUAUAAAUCGGAAUAUCAUCAAAAAAUACCAAGACCAACUUUCUCAAAACUGGUUGGAAGACGGACUAGGCCUUGGAAAGUUGAAGGUGCAUUAGAUAUAUUCAUAAUGACCUGAGUGAGUCUUAAAUGCAGUCUUAGGUAUGUCAUCAGUAGCCAUUCUCAGUUGGUGGUAACCAGACUUGAGAUCUAUCUUGCUGAAAAUGUUGGAAUAUCCUCCGGCCAGUUCAUCCAAUAAGUCUUCCACCAUUGGAAUGUGAAACUUAUUCUAUAUAGUGUCUUGUUCAGAUCAUUAUAGUCAACAUAGGAACCUCCAUGUACCAUUAUUUCCCCCCACCAAUACCACAGGUGCAGCAUAGGGACUGCAACUUGGCUGAACAAUACCUUGAUCCAACAAUUGAUUAACCAAGGUUUCUAUCGCAUCCUCCUUUAUUAACUGUUGGAUACCUGUAAGGUCUUCUAUCAAUAGGUUCAGUUCCAGAUGCAUGUAACACCAUUCUAUGGUCAAACAUUCCUCUAGAGGGAGGUAGUUAAGUAGGUUCUUCCAACAAUUUCGUGAACCGGAUAGGCUAGUGUCAGUUUCAGGUGAGCUAGUAGCUUCUAAUGCAUAGCAUUGUACAUAAUACCACAUGCAUGGAAGGUAUCAACUGAAUCAUGCAUAAUUGGACUUGGUUACCUGAUAUUUUAGCCAACUUAAUUCCCAGCUCUUGUGCUCAAAAUAUGCCUGCCCGAUCCUCUUAGCACAUACCUCUUUCCCAUGUACAUGGAAUUAUUAGCUGCUGCAACCAUAUGAGGAAUGGUAGCAAUAAAUGAACAUCCCAACUUAUCCACCAAGGAGGGAUCAAUAAAGUUAUGUAAAUAUAUAGCAUGUAUCCAAAUCUUAAAGUGAUAGUCAGUGACCUUCAAGGUAUUUUGAAUUAUUCUUGAUUAUGGUUCUUCUCAACUUCCUGAAUCAUCAGUUCAUUUUGUACCUCUUCUUGAAAAUCCUGAUCAUUAUCUUGUAAUUCUAGAAUGUAUAACUAUCUUAAAUUCUUGCAUUUAUGGGCAAUGUAAUACUUCUCAUAAUGGUGUUUUCUCCCUUUGAGUCUUCCUAGAUGUCGAAUGAUUCAUCAAUUCAAUCAUUGUCUAGAAGAAACCUCCCAUGCCAAGGUUUCAAUUUAUGUGAGAAAUUAUUACAUCAUAUCACGCAAAAUCACAUACAACUGCAGUAGGUAAAUCAUUGUUUGGAUCUCCAUUUGACCGAGUACCCUUCGCCAUUGAUGCAAAGGAAGGAAUGACUUUGAUAUCACUGAUAACAAAAUCUCAAGAAUCGAACCUAGUUCGAGAAAUUCUAUGUCAACAACAUGAGUUCAACAGUUUCUUAGCCUCUUAUAUGUAUUCCAUGCAUCAGUAAGCUUAUAUGUUGGAAUAAUAAUAGGGAAAACAAAGUAUUACUUCCUUCAUUUCAAUUUAUUUGUUUUAAUUAUUUAGUUUUUAGCCCGUUUUAAAAAGAACAUGUAUUUUGGAAAAAAUUCAACUUUUCACAUGACAUAUUUAAGAUCACAAGAUUAAAUGACAUUUUGAUUCAUUCUACCUCUCUUUAGUAAGACCACAAAAUUCAACAUCUUCUUUAUCAGACAAAAAAAAUAAAUAGAAACACAAUACAACAAUAUAAAUUAUUAUGAAAAAGUCAUAUUAGUAUGAAAGUUAUCAAGAUUAAAUAAAGCUAUCUCCAUUUGUAGUGUAAAUAGAAAUAUCAUAUAUAGCUACCAAGAAUGGAACAAAUGGAAGAGGAAAAGAUGUGAGACAAAUUGCAAAUAUUUUUGAGGAAAAUUAGAAAAAAGAGAGUAGCUAGAUUAGGUACCAAGAGGCACGAUGAGGAUCAGCAUCAUUUGGAGGUGGAGGCAGAUAGACAUUAUCAAUGGUGACAUUAGGGGCGCGAACUUUGGCUUUCUCUGCAUACUCUUUUUUUGCAUCCUCUACAACUGAUUUAACUAAUGAAACAUCCAUCUCCCUACACCUCAAUAACAAUGAUGGCUCCUUCAGUCGCAACAGACUCUAAAACAAACAAAGAAGAAGAGUUAUGUAUAGUAUCAAUUAACAGGUUGAUUGCAGAUCAAAAACGUAUAUUAUAUUUACCUGAACAAUCAAUCCUCUGAGAAUCUUUUUGUAAUUAUUCUUUUCACCAGAAAUCUUUAAAAGUGCCUUUCUAGCAGAGUCCUUCAUUCCACUCACCACAUCAUCUUGUGCUUGGAGAACUUUGAUGCGGGAUGCAUUUAGUUGCAUAGAAUACUCUCUAAUUACAAAAAAACACUUUCAUAUAUGUAUUAACACAACUAUAUAACUCUCAUCCUAUACAUUAAUUAUAAUUAAAACUCACAUUUUCUUACGUACUUCCACCUGCUUCGUUUUCCUCUCAUACUCUUGUCUCACCUUUUUCUUCUCAGCUUCAACUAAUUGUAAUUUCUCAAUUUGAAAUUCCUGCAAAAAGAGAACUAGGAUCUUAAUGUAUGAAAAUGCAGGGGUGGCUUAAGGGUGGGUAAAUAAAUCUAGUAAUGCCUCUGCUUUAGGCCCAAAAUUUUGAGUUCCCAAAAAUUUUUAAUAGUGAAUUUUAACUUUUUAUCAAGACUAUUUUAGAACUUUGAAAUAAAUGACUCAAAUCUUCAUAUUAAUAAAUAAAGUUUUUACAUCAACAUCCAACAUCCAACAUCAUCUAUUGCAAACAAAUCUCUAACCUCUUAUUGACUAGAACUAAUCCUUACUCUUAUAAACAAUAAUAUUAUUAUGUGAAUUUAUACGUUUAAUGUCUUUUCAGAAUAUGUACUAAAAACAAAUUGUAUACCAGACUAAAAAAAGAA